rnacentral:lncRNA from 1 species
GAGAGCAUAGCAGCGUCAGAAGAGAGAGAGUGAGAGAGAGAGAAAGAGAGAGAGAGAGAGAUUAUAUAGAUCGUCCUAAAGUAAGAGGGUGAGACAGGUUAUUAAAGAGUGAAAGAAACGAGUGGUGUCUGUACUCUGUAGCGUCUGUUGUGUGUGUGUGUGUGUGUGUUGCAAGAACUAGAAGAGCCUCUAGGCUUGUAGACACGGUCGGAGCGUCAUGGAUGUUGAUUCAUUCAAGAAAUUUUGACUUGCUUAAUAAGUUACAACACUGUUUGUGCCUUACAUUUGUUUUUAUCUCUUUUGGGUCUCUCACUGCUGCUGCCAUUUUUUUAGACUAGUAUAUUAUGCUUUCUUGGUCUUGUAUCUUUUGAGUUUCAUUGCAACAUUGUGUGUUCGGCUUAUUCGUUUUUGAGAUGCUACCUCUGUCCUCUUUGUAUUUUGUGUCAAAUUUUGAUCAUAGAUUGAACUAACAAAAUGUUUAUGCAUGUCAUUAAAAAUUAAAAAAAUAUAACUUUUUUUGUUUUAUUUCUCAAAUGCUCUGCGCGAUCCCAUUGAGUAGGGCACCUUUCCCAGCCUGCCCUUUCCUUUUCGCUUCGCUAGCAAUUAAUUCCCUUAAUUGAGGCAACUUCCUAGUUUGCAUGCAGGGACAUAAGGCCACUUUCAAUGCAUUGGUGCUUAGAUAAAGUAUUAAGAAUAUUAAAAAGUUUAGCAACUAAGACUAGACAUAAUGGGGACUAACUUAAAGUAAUAAUAUGCAUAUGUUAUUAAUCUAUGUUACUAUCUUCACAGUGGGUUAUAAAAUAUGUGUUAUGCAAUGCAUCACUUCAUUUAUUAGGUUGUAGACUUAUCUUUUUUUUAUAUGUGUGAUAUUACAGUAACUAGCUAUGUUACCACAACUACAUACCUCCCUUUCUUCAUUAAAUACAUGGCACAUCACCUAUUUUACCUAGAUAAGCGUGAUGUUAUCACCUAUGUUACUCCCACUAUGGGUAGUCUAAUGUCCAUAAUGCAUAGGUGCUUUACUUGUUGGUGCUAAGCUCCCCUCGUUUCAUGCAUUGGUGGGUUUCUUUCAUUUAAUUGCUUUUGCCUAGGUUCAUGUGCUUGGCAUUGGUUUUUUCUGGGAUCACCAAACUCAUCUCUCUCCUCUUUAUUACUUUGUCACAUCAGAUUUUUUUACCUACAUGGUAGCCUUAGCACAUGUACAAGAUGAAACAUUGGGGAGGUCCUAAGUGGAGGAGAGAGAGAGAUUACGUGUGACAUGCAUGGAGGGAUUCGAGGCAACUAGUACUCCAACCCACGCAAAAGUAGGGGCAAACUUUUUUCUUUGCGAGAUAAACUUCCGUCUAUCAUCUUCAAUCAUGAUAGUACAUCAAACACUAGAAAUGAUAAAAAUUACAUUCAAGAUCCGUAGACCACCUAGCGACAACUACAAGCACUGAAGCGAGCCGAAGGCGCGCCGCUGUCAUCGCCCUUCCCUCGCUGGAGACGGGUAAACCUUGUUCUAGUAGACAGUUGGAAAGUCGUCGUACUAAGGCCCCGUAGAACCAACACCAGAACAGCAACCGUUGCCGAUGAAGAGUGUAGAUAAGAAGGAUCCAACCUGAAGACACACGAACAAAGACGGACGCCGAACAGAUCCGAGCAAAUCCACCAGAGACAGAUCCACCUGAGACACACCUCCACACGCCCACCGAUGAUGCUAGACGCAUCACUGGAACGGAGACUAGGCGGAGAGACCUUUAUGUUGGGGAACGUAGUAAUUUCAAAAUUUUCCUACGCACAUGCAAGAUCAUGGUGAUGCAUAGCAACGAGAGGAGAGUGUUGUCCACGUACCAUCGUAGACCGAAAGCGGAAGCGUUAGCACAACGCGGUUGAUGUAGUCGUACGUCUUCACGGCCUGACCGAUCAAGCACCGAAACUACGGCACCUCCGAGUUCUAGCACACGUUCAGCUCGAUGACGAUCCCCAGACUCCGAUCCAGCAGAAUGUCGGGGAAGAGUUCCGUCAGCACGACGACGUGGUAACGAUCUUGAUGUUCUACUGUCGCAGGGCUUCGCCUAAGCACCACUACAAUAUUAUCGAGGACUAUGGUGGAGGGGGGCACCGCACACGGCUAAGAGAUCAAUGAUCAACUGUUGUGUCUAUGGGGUGCCCCCUGCCCCCGUAUAUAAAAGAGCAAGGGAGGGAGGCGGCCGGCCUAGGAGGAGGGCGCGCCAAGGGGGGAGUCCUACUCCCACCGGGAGUAGGACUCCUCCUUCCCUUGUUGGAGUAGGAGAGAAGGAAAGAGGGGGAGAGGAACAAGGAAAAGUGGGCUGCACCCCUUGUCCAAUUCGGACCAGAGGGGGGGGGGGGCGCCUCCUUCCUUUUGGCCUCUCUUCUCUAUUCCGAGUGGUUGCUACGAACACUAGUAAAAUACACAUCAAUAAUACCGAGUGGUUGCUACGAACACUAGUAAAAUACACAUCAAUAAUAUGUAUAUCAAAUAUACCUUUGUUCACUUUGCCAUCCUUCUUAUCCGCCAAAUACUUGGGGCAGUCCGCUUCCAGUGACCAGUCCCUUUGCAGUAGAAGCACUUAGUCUCAGGUUUAGGUCCAAACUUGGGCUUCUUCACUUGAGAAACAACUUGCUUGCCGUUCUUCUUGAAGUUCCCCUUCUUCCCUUUGCCCUUUUCUUGAAACUAGUGGUCUUCUUAACCAUCAACACUUGAUGUUUUUCUUGAUUUCUACCUUCGUUGAUUUCAGCAUCACGAAGAGCUUGGAAUCGUUUCCGUUAUCCCUUGCAUAUUGUAGUUCAUCACGAAGUUCUACUAACUUGGUGAUGGUGACUAGAGAAUUCUGUCAAUCACUAUCUUAUCUGGAAGAUUAACUCCCACCUGAUUCAAGCGAUUGUAGUAUCCAGACAAUCUGAGCACAUGCUCACUAGUUGAGCGAUUCUCCUCCAUCUUUUAGCUAUAGAACUUGUUGGAGACUUCAUAUCUCCCAACUCGGGUAUUUGCUUGAAAUAUUAACUUCAACUCCUGGAACAUCACAUAUGUUUCAUGACGUUAAAAAACGCCUUUGAAGUCCCGAUUCUAAGCCGUAAAGCAUGAUGCACUAAACUAUCAAGUAGUCAUCAUAUUGAGCUAGCCAAACGUUUAGAACGUCUGCAUCUGCUCCUGCAAUAGGUCUGUCACCUAGCGGUGCAUCAAGGACAUAAUUCUUCUAUGCAGCAAUGAGGAUAAUCCUCAGAUCACGGAUCCAAUCCGCAUCAUUGCUACUAACAUUUUUCAACUUAGUUUUCUCUAGGAACAUAUAAAAAUUAAAUGGGGAGCAACAUCGCGAGCUAUUGAUCUACAACAUAGAUAUGCUAAUACUAUCAGGACUAAGUUCAUGAUAAAUUAAAGUUCAAUUAAACAUAUUACUUAAGAACUCCCACUAAGAUAGACAUCCCUCUAAUCAUCUAAGUGAUCACGUGAUGCAAAUCAACUAAACCAUAACCGAUCAUCACGUGAAAUGGAAUAGCUUUCAAUGGUGAACAUCAUUAUGUUGAUCAUAUCUACUAUAUGAUUCACGCUCGACCUUUCGGUCUCAGUGUUCCGAGGCCAUAUCUGCAUAUGCUAGGCUCGUCAAGUUUAACCUGAGUAUUCUGCGUGUGCAAAACUGGCUUGCACCCAUUGCAGAUGGACAUAGAGCUUAUCACACCCGAUCAUCACGUGGUGUCUGGGCACGACGAAUUUUGGCAACGGUGCAUACUCAUGGAGAACACUUUUAUCUUGAAAUUUAGUGAGAGAUCAUCUUAUAAUGCUACCGUCAAACAAAGCAAGAUAAGAUGCAUAAAAUAUAAACAUCACAUGCAAUCAAUAUAAGUGAUAUGAUAUGGCCAUCAUCAUCUUGUGCUUGCGAUCUCCAUCUCCGAAGCACCGUCAUGAUCACCAUCGUCACCGGCGCGACACCUUGAUCACCAUCGUAGCAUCGUUGUCGUCUCGCAAAUCUUAUGUUUCCAUGACUAUCGCUACCGCUUAGUGAUAAAGUAAAGCAUUACAGCGCAAUUGCAUUGCAUACAAUAAAGCGACAACCAUAUGGCUCCUGCCAGUUGCCGAUAACUCGGUUACAAAACAUGAUCAUCUCAUACAAUAAAAUUUAGCAUCAUGUCUUGACCAUAUCACAUCACAACAUGCCCUGCAAAAACAAGUUAGACGUCCUCUACUUUGUUGCUGCAAAUUUUACGUGGCUGCUACGGGCUGAGCAAGAACCGUUCUUACCUACGCAUCAAAACCACAACGAUAGUUUGUCAAGUUGGUGCUGUUUUAAUCUUCGCAAGGAUCGGGCGUAGCCACACUCGGUUCAACUAAAGUUGGAGAAACUGACACCCGCCAGCCACCUGUGUGCAAAGCAUGUCGGUAGAACCAGUCUCGCGUAAGCGUACGCGUAAUGUCGGUUCGGGCUGCUUCAUCCAACAAUAUCGCCGAACCAAAGUGUGACAUGCUGGUAAGCAGUAUGACUUAUAUCACCCACAACUCACUUGUGUUCUACUCGUGCACAACAUCAACGCAUAAAACCUAGGCUCGGAUGCCAUUGUUGGGGAACAUAGUAAUUUCAAAAUUUUCCUACGCACACGUAAGAUCAUGGUGAUGCAUAGCAACGAGAAGGGAGAGUGUUGUCCACGUACCCUCGUAGACCGAAAGCGGAAGCGUUAGCACAACGCGGUUGAUGUAGUUGUACGUCUUCACGGCCCGACCGAUCAAGCACCGAAACUACGGCACCUCCGAGUUCUAGCACACGUUCAGUUCGAUGACGAUCCCCAGACUCCGAUCCAGCAGAAUGUCGGGGAAGAGUUCCGUCAGCACGACGGCAUGGUGACGAUCUUGAUGUUCUACUGUCGCAGGGCUUCGCCUAAGCACCACUACAAUAUUAUCGAGGACUAUGGUGGAGGGGGGCACCGCACACGGCUAAGAGAUCAAUGAUCAACUGUUGUGUCUAUGGGGUGCCCCCCUGCCCCCAUAUAUAAAGGAGCAAGGGAGGGAGGCGGCCGGCCUAGGAGGAGGGCGCGCCAAGGGGGGAGUCCUACUCCCACCGGGAGUAGGACUCCUUCUUCCCUUGUUCGAGUAGAGUGAAGGAAAGAGGGGGGAGGAACAAGGAAAAGUGGGCUGCACCCCUUGUCCAAUUCGGACCAGAGAGGGGGCGCGCGCCUCCUUCCUUUUGGCCUCUCUUCUCUAUUCCCGUAUAGCCCAAUAAGGCCCAUAUACUCCCCGGCGAAUUCCGUAACUCUCCGGUACUCCGAAAAAUACCCGAAUCACUCGGAACCUUUCCGAUGUCUGAAUAUAGUCGUCCAAUAUAUCGAUCUUUACGUCUCGACCAUUUCGAGACUCCUCGUCAUGUCCCCGAUCUCAUCCGGGACUCCGAACUCCUUCGGUACGUCAAAACUCAUAAACUCAUAAUAUAACUGUCAUCGAAACCUUAAGCGUGCGGACCCUAUGGGUUCAAGAACAAUGUAGACAUGACCGAGACACGUCUCUGGUAAAUAACCAAUAGCGGAACCUGGAUGCUCAUAUUGGCUCCCACAUAUUCUACGAAGAUCUUUAUCGGUCAGACCGCAUAACAACAUACACUGUUCCCUUUGUCAUCGGUAUGUUACUUGCCCGAGAUUCGAUCGUCGGUAUCUCAAUACCUAGUUCAAUAUCAUUACCAGAAAGUCUCUUUACUCGUUCCGUAAUACAUCAUCCUGCAACUAACUCAUUAGUUGCAAUGCUUGCAAGGCUUAAGUGAUGUGCAUUACCGAGAGGGCCCAGAGAUACCUCUCCGACAAUCGGAGUGACAAAUCCUAAUCUCGAAAUACGCCAACCCAACAAGUACCUUCGGAGACACCUGUAGAGCACCUUUAUAAUCACCCAGUUACGUUGUGACGUUUGGUAGCACACAAAGUGUUCCUCCGGUAAACAAGAGUUGCAUAAUCUCAUAGUCAUAGGAACAUGUAUAAGUCAUGAAGAAAGUAAUAGUAACAAACUAAACGAUCAAGUGCUAUGCUAAUGGAAUGGGUCAAGUCAAUCACAUCAUUCUCCUAAUGAUGUGAUCCCGUUAAUCAAAUGACAACUCAUGUCUAUGGUUAGAAAACAUAACCAUCUUUGAUCAACGAGCUAGUCAAGUAGAGGCAUACUAGUGACACUCUGUUUGUCUAUGUAUUCACACAUGUAUUAUGUUUCCGGUUAAUACAAUUCUAGCAUGAAUAAUAAACAUUUAUCAUGAUAUAAGGAAAUAAAUAAUAACUUUAUUAUUGCCUCUAGGGCAUAUUUCCUUCACUUUAUUCCAUCUGCAGGGAGUAGCCGCCGUCUUGCCUUCCUGAGUAGGACACAAACCCUAACAAAUCUCUAAAAAGGAUCUAAAAAGGAGCCCUCCCACCGGCAAGGGCCGGGAUCCACUCCGUCCCCAUGGCCCUAAGGCCAUGGUAGACGGGGCGGACUGACGCCAGGGCGGGCGGGAGGCAGAGAAACCCUACUUUUUUGGGUAGGAGGCGGCUUGAUGUGACUUCUCGUAAAACAAUAGAAUUUCGAACGGGCCUCUCCUUGGUACGCGAGCGACGAGUUAUGCGCAAAGUAAAAAAGAACAAAGAGAGUAUCAUUGGCAAGGGUUCGCAAGUGUUGUUCUGGAGGGAUCAUUGGACCAAUGGAUCUAACGUCAGCGAGAUCGCGCCACUCCUCAUUCGCAAAGUCAGGAAACAAGUGGUGAAUAGGAGGAAGGUCAAUGAAGCGCUUCACUUCGAUGCUUGGACCCAGGAUAUUAUGGGUGAAUUGAACACGGAGGAGCUGCUCCAGUUCAUAAGAAUGUGGGAGAUAAUGCUCCAAAUGGAGUUGAGGCCAAACAUGGAGGACGUCUUGAUCUGGCAGUGGGAGAUUAGCGGCACUUAUUCGGCAAAAUCGGCCUACAAGAUGAUGUGCCAUGGAGGCAUUCGGUUUCAAUUCGCUUCGGCAGUUUGGCGAUGUUGGGCUACGCUAAUGUGUAAGAUCUUCAUGUGGCUAGCCCUAUAACAUAGGAUUUGGACAUCUGACCAUAGGCACAGACACGGAAUGCAAGAGCAUAGUUCGCCUUGCUUUCUGUGUAAGCAGGAGGAGGACACGGUGGAGCACCUUCUCAUACAAUGUGUGUAUGCCAGGCAAGUAUGGUUUCCCUGUUUCAGGAGACUUGGCAUCGACACUGAGCUCACGCCUACCAGGGAUCAUACAUUGGGUGAUUGGUGGAUGGCCUCCAGGAAGCGCAUCAACAAGAGAGAUCGCAAAGGUUUCGAUACCCUUUGCACGUCAGCAUAUAGGAACAUUUGGAAACAGAGGAACGAUAGAGUCUUUCGCGACAGCACCACGGCCUUUGAAGUGGACGUAGCCGAGGCAGUUCACAAGGAAUUAUUUCUGUGGGCAGCAGCGCGAGGAAGAGGAGAACACAACGUCAUAGAGUUCUUUCUCUUCUAUAAAGCCAAGGUAUGCAUUUUGCGUACUCUUAAAAAAAUAUGAGGGGAUUAGUAAAUCAGAACGAGGGUAGUACAAUAUACCUAAAGCUGGUGCGCUCACGCCGUGGCAUCAGCUUAUGGGAGUAGCGUAAUUCAGGUGCAUGCAUGUAGGCAUAACUGAGAUUUUUUUUCCCGUAGGAUUCAGCGAGGCAUAAUCUAAUCUUGUUCUGGGAUGUUCCCCCUUGUUUCUAUGUUGGACGGGAAUGCCCGGUUUGGAAGAUCCAAAAGAGGAGGAGGAUUCAGCGCAUUCUCGCCGUGGCCUAGGCAAAAUCUUCUUCUGGUCCUUGUUUCUUGGAUGGGGAGUGCCCGUUUGGAAAGAUCCAAAGGCGGGGAGGACGGCAGGGUGUGCAGGAUGCUCGUCUUGCCAUAUUUUCCCAAUGAAUUAACAAGUGCUCCCACACGCUUUCAGAAGAUCUCUCUCCGUAAUUAGACUUGGACCAGGCGUGGUUGCCCUAGACUAGUGCAGAUAUCAUGAGCUCAGUCACUCACCCCCCGACGCGGGAUCAGAAUCAGAUCAAGCCACGAACCAGUUCACACCGCCUGUCUCGACGAUAAGACGACGCCGACGUGGGUGGUGCGUGGUACUACUACUCACAAAGAUAGCCAUCGACGUCCCUUCGCGCCCAAGGAAGACCCGAAUGAGUAAACCAAGUCCGGGUCUUCAAGUCAGUCUCCUCGGCUGCGUCUGCGUGCGUGCCUUUAAUUUUUUGUCAUCUCUUGUACGGCACACGAGCAGACCACGCGCAUGCAGCAAACUCAAGACUUGUUUAGCGCAGGGAUUAAUUAAUUCGUCAGAGGGCACGGGCGGAUCCUACACGUCUUCGAGCCCGUCAGUUGCUUUCACUUUUGCCUCUUUCAGGGAUUUUUGUUCCUGUGAAUAUGAAUAAUGGCCUGCUCCGGUGCCCAAAAGCUAUGUACUGAACCUCACACUGAUUUCUACUAAUGGUAAUAGCCUAAUAGGAGCAAUGCUUAUAUUUCUCUACGAAAAGGAAGAGGCCGAUCGAAGAAGCGAUCGUGCGUGCCAGCUUUGCUUAUGCGCACUCGCCCCGGAACAUUUUCCUCCCUUAGCUAGCGAGAGGUUUAAUAUUCCGCCUGGCGGGCGCGCGGAUUUUAUUCCGGAACAAAAUAUCCUCAAUCUGUCGUGUCAUCCUAUCUGGUCGAAAUGCAAGCCGAGAAAUUCUGCACCGAUGGACGGCUGCUUACACGUAUAGUGCUCGGAGUUAAUUAAGAAGCCCGGGUUUCUUUUCGCUGCACCAGCCGGAUAUGUUGAUCUUUCAGCGAGUAGCAUCAGGAUGAUAUGUCGGCUCAGUCUUUCAGAGAUGUUCAUAGAGAUAGGAUAUGCGUGUGUAUGCGUUCAUAAAGGUGAGUAUAUGCGUGGCGCGUUGGCCCUGGACAAGGCGCCCGGUCGACGGCGGCCCCGGGACCUGGCGAUGGUGUGCCGGCUGCUGUGGCUGUUGGGGCAGCGCGGCAGCUGGACCUGGUGGUGCUCGAUGGUGGUUUGGCCACGGCGGCUCGCUCGGAUCUGGCGUCAUGGCCAUGGGAUGGGCGGCUAGGUGGUGGUCGGGUGGAGCGUGCGCAGCGCGGGGGCUGGCAGCACGGCAGCUGGCACGAAGGCUGCGCGUGGCCACCGGGUCGGCCUGCUCUGGUUCGGCCGGAUCUAGCCAGCGGGCUGCGGGCGGCGCGUGGGAUCAUGUCGGUGCUCCGGGGAUGGUACGCUGGGACGGAGGCGCGACGAGGUGGAUGGCCGGGCAUCAUGGCUGGUUGUGCCGCGGUGUCCGGGCGGCGCUGCAUUCCCUGGCCGUGAGGGCGGCGGGGCUAUAGCGGGUUGAUGCAGGCCUUGGUCUUCCCCGACAGGGGGCUGCAAUGGACUCGUCGGUUGGCGGCGUGACGACAUCCGGCUCCUCCCCUCUCCGCAGUGAUGGCCCAAGGUGGUUGCCCUCCCUUCUAGUUUGCUACGCUCGGACGUUGAUGGACAUGGCCAAGGAGAAAUCCAGCGCGGCUGCGGCUGCGGGCAACGGCGACGCUUGUUGACGCCGUCUCCUCCCUGGGGGCAUUGUCAUGGCUGAAGAAAUAUGCCCUAGAGGCAAUAAUAAAGUUAUUAUUUAUUUCCUUAUAUCAUGAUAAAUGUUUAUUAUUCAUGCUAUAAUUGUAUUAACCGGAAACAUAAUACAUGUGUGAAUACAUAGACAAACAGAGUGUCACUAGUAUGCCUCUACUUGACUAGCUCGUUGAUCAAAGAUGGUUAUGUUUCCUAACCAUAGACAUGAAUUGUCAUUUGAUUAACGGGAUCACAUCAUUAUGAGAAUGAUGUGAUUUACUUGACCCAUUCCGUUAGCAUAGCACUUGAUCGUUUAGUUUGUUGCUAUUGCUUUCUUCAUGUCUUAUACAUGUUCCUAUGACUAUGAGAUUAUGCAACUCCCGUUUGCCGGAGGAACACUUUGUGUGCUACCAAACGUCACAACGUAACUGGGUGAUUAUAAAGGAGCUCUACAGGUGUCUCCAAAGGUACAUGUUGGGUUGGCAUAUUUCGAGAUUAAGAUUUGUCACUCCGAAUGUCGGAGAGGUAUCUCUGGGCCCUCUCGGUAAUGCACAUCACAUAAGCCUUGCAAGCAUUGCAACUAAUGAGUUAGUUGCGAGAUGAUGUAUUACAAAACGAGUAAAGAGACUUGCCGGUAACGAGAUUGAACUAGGUAUUGAGAUACCGACGAUCGAAUCUCGGGCAAGUAACAUACCGAUGACAAAGGGAACAACGUAUGUUGUUAUGCGGUCUGACCGAUAAAGAUCUUCGUAGAAUAUGUGAGAGCCAAUAUGAGCAUUCAGGUUCCGCUAUUGGUUAUUGACCGGAGACGUUCUCGGUCAUGUCUACAUUGUUCUCGAACCCAUAGGGUCCGCACGCUUAAGGUUUCGAUGACAGUUAUAUUAUGAGUUUAUGAGUUUUGAUGUACCGAAGGAGUUCGGAGUCCCGGAUGAGAUCGGGGACAUGACGAGGAGUCUCAAAAUGGUCGAGACGUAAAGAUCAAUAUAUUGGACGACUAUAUUCGGACAUCGGAAAGGUUCUGAGUGAUUCGGGUAUUUUCGGAGGUACCGGGGAGUUACCGGAAUACGAGGAAGAAGCAAUGGGCCUUAGUGGGCCUUAGUGGGAAGGACCAGGAGGUGGCGCGCGCCCUUCCCAAGCCCAGUCCGAAUUGGACAAGGGGUUUGGGGCGCGGCCCCUCUCUCCCUUCCUUCCCCUCUUCCCCCUUCCCCCCCUUCUCCUAGUUGGACUAGGAAAGGAGGAAACCUCCUAGGGCUGGCCUCCUUCCCCUUGCUCCUUUAUAUACGGGGGCAGGGGGGCACCUCUAGAAACACAAGUUGAUCCUCGUGAUCGUUUUCUUAGCCGUGUGCGGUGCCCCCUUCCACCAUACUCCUCGAUAAUAUUGUAGUGGUGCUUAGGCGAAGCCCUGCGUCGGUAGAACAUCAAGAUCGUCACGACGCCGUCGUGCUGAUGGAAUUCUUCCCCGACACUUUGCUGGAUCGGAGUCCGUGGAUCAUGAUCGAGCUGAACGUGUGCUAAAACUCGAAGGUGCCGUAGUUUCGGUGCUUGAUCGGUUGGGUCGUGAAGAUGUACGACUACAUCAACCACGUUGUUAUAACGCUUCCGCUUUCGGUCUACGAGGAUACGUAGAUUACACUCUCCCCUCUCGUUGCUAUGCAACACCAUGAUCUUGCGUGUGCGUGGGAAAAUUUUGAAAUUACUACGUUCCCCAACAGUGGCAUCCGAGCCUAGGUUUUAUGUGUUGAUGUUAUAUGCACGAGUAGAACACAAGUGAGUUGUGGGCGAUAUAAGUCAUACUGCUUACCAGCAUGUCAUACUUUGGUUCGGCGGUAUUGUUGGAUGAAGCGGCCCGGACCGACACUAUGCGUACGCUUACACGAGACUAAUUCUACCGACGUGCUUUGCACAUAGGUGGCUGGCGGGUGUCAGUUUCUCCAACUUUAGUUGAACCGAGUGUGGCUACGCCCGGUCCCUGCGAAGGUUAAAACAACACCAACUUGACAAACUAUCGUUGUGGUUUUGAUGCGUAGGUAAGAUUGGUUCUUGCUUAAGCCCGUAGCAGCCACAUAAAACUUGCAACAACAAAGUAGAGGACGUCUAACUUGUUUUUGCAGGGCAUGUUGUGAUGUGAUAUGGUCAAGACAUGAUGCUAAAUUUUAUUGUAUGAGAUGAUCAUGUUUUGUAACCAAGUUAUCGGCAACUGGCAGGAGCCAUAUGGUUGUCGCUGAUGAAGCUAUGGACCUAGGGUAGGGUCAUGGACCUGUCCUAACUGCCCUACCCAAGGACAUCUCUAGAAGGAAUCGCCUUUCAAUCGACUUGAAGGUGUCCCACUCGACAGACUCGAAGACACUCGACCAAGAAGCAAUCGCUCGACCAAGACCCAACCACUCGACGGCCAGGAGACCUAAAGGCGCCCGCACGCUAACGGUCGGUCAUUAAGUAGCUUUUAUGAUCAUCAUAGCACUUUAUUACUAGCGCUACCAAAAACGCCCUGCUUUAAUGUACAUUGAACCCUUCGUAACGUGGGCUGGCCGGGGUCCUGGCGCACUCUAUAUAAGCCACCCCCUCCUCCGAGACAAGGGUUCGCACCUCUGUAACUCAUACACACAUAAUCCAGUCGAUCGCCUCUGGGCUCCGAGACGUAGGGCUUUUACUUCCUCCGAGAAGGGCCUGAACUCGUAAACCCUGCGUCCUUACAACCUCUCCAUAGCUAAGACCUCGCCUCUCCAUACUUACCCCCUACAUUACUGUCAGACUUAGGACCACGACAGUUGGCGCCCACCAUGGGGAAGUGUUUUAGCGUUUUGUUGGAGGAGUUGCGAUCUUUUCCGACCCGAAUCAUCAUGGUUUUCGACGGAGUUUUGGUGGAGAGCCGCGAGAUCCGUCUCGGCGUGCUCACGUUCAUCGCCGACGACUCCGCCUGGCUUCAGGAGGCUCCGCUCGACGUGGACGCACUCCCUGUCCGCGGGGCAACGCACUUUAGCGCAUGCGUCCGCGGUGUUCUCCUGCGGCAACCGUCGACCCCCUACCGGUCGACUCCUGCGUUGUCCUCCCUCCCCGUUUCCCGCCGACGCAAGCGCUCCGGUCGGUCGAGACUUCAGCGGUGGGUGAGACACGCGGUGGCCCGUCAGUCGGCCAUCCCUCAAGUCGCGGCGAUCGAGCCCGAUGAAUCCCUCUACGGCCUGUUCGACUGGCUCCGAAGAGACUGCAUCCGAGUGCGACAGCAGCGAUCCGGCGGCAGAGGUUCUGAUGGUCGACGGACCGCCCAGUCCCCCCGGUUUUACCCGCACCGACGGAGGCGCGGGAGGAGGCGACCCGUCGCGUCCCCAUGAGGAGUAUCUUCCCGAGCCUCUCACGUCGCUGCAGAGAGAAGAACUUCGCCGCCAGAAUGUGGAUGCGCUGCACACUUCUAUCGUUGGAGAAACCUCCGAGGCUCGCGCCUUGGAGGAAGCGCGCCUGGCAAACUUGGCCGAGCGCACUCGACUGGAGAACCUCCAGCGAGCACUCGACGAGCGGGCGCGACAACGGGUUCCGGAAUCCAGUCGAUGUCAGCUCUUCCUGCCCCCGCGGGUAUAUCGGACUCCGAUUCAGAAUUUAGCAGCUGCGGCCCGUAUAGCGGAGUCGAUUCAGCCUUCCCAGUCGGAGGCUGGCAGAGGCUUGUUGUAGAUCAGAGCGUUACUCCGGGUAGCAGGAGAUCAGAAUUCCGCUGUUUCUCAGUCGCGAAACAGAAUUCACAGCAGAUCCGUUGCUGCGGACACAGUCCAGUCGACUCACAGCCCGAGAUCGCCCCCGAGGCGUGAGGGACGUGGAGACCGGCGUGACCAGUAUGGGAACCAUGAGCAGUAUGAUCACCGAGUCGACCGUGACGGUCGACAUCGAGUGCCCACACCUCCCCCGAGGAGCGGGUCGUAUGUGCCUCGCCAGCAGGAUGACAGGCGCCCUCAUAGUGGUGGGCGAAGGAUUCCAGUCGACCCCAGAGGGCCAGGCUUUGACGCGAGAUCCAUCCUCGUCCAAGGUCUGGUCAACAAGAACAGGGCUCACCAAGAAGGCCAUGACAGAGAUGCGCCAGCCAGCAGCAGAGUACAUGUUUCGGGGCCAGAAUGCUUUAGUAGAGCCAUCAGGGCAGCUGUGAUUCCUCCCAACUUCAGGUUGGCGGCUGGAGUCAGUAAGUUCACUGGCGAGUCCAAGCCCGAUACUUGGCUUGAAGAUUACCGAGUGGUCAUCCAGAUUGGCGGCGGCAAUGAUGAAGUGGCCAUGAAGCACCUGCCUCUCAUGUUGGAGGGCUCGGCUAGAGCGUGGCUGAACCAGUUAGCGCCUAGCAGCAUUUACACUUGGGAGGAUCUCUCCCGAGUGUUCGUCACCACAUUUGAAGGCACAUGCAAGCAACCGGCGGGAUUGACGGAACUGCGGUCCUGUGUGCAAAAGCCGAAUGAAACUUUGAGGGAUUACAUCCAGAGAUGGAUCACGUUACAUCACUCGGUGGAGAAUGUGCCUGACCACCAAGCAGUUUGUGCCUUCAAGGAAGGCAUCAAAUACAGAGAACUGAAUUUGAAAUUCGGUCGAACCGGAGAUAUGUCCCUGAAUCGGAUGAUGAAGAUUGCCACCAAGUACGCUAACGGCGAAGAUGAGGAUCGACUCAGGAGUGGCAAACUCAAGUCAGUCGCCCAAGAAACCGGAGGCAAUUCCAGUCGGAAACAGAAGCGGAAAGCCGAGCCAGCGGCUCCCGGGGAAGCCUUAGCUUUGGCCCAAGGAAAGUCUAAAGGGAAACCUAAAGAGCCUUGGAACCCCAAAAAGGUUAAAGACCAGGAGGGAAAUGAUGUGUUGGACUUACCGUGUCUUGUCCACACGAAGAAAGAUGAAGAGGGUAAUUUUAUUUACCCGAAACAUACCACUCGGCAGUGUCAACUCUUGAUCCAGCAGUUCCAGGGCAAGCAGCCCAAGGGUAAGGAAAAGGAGUCAGACAAGGUUGAAGACAAAGAGGACAGUGAUGACGGAUACCCUCAAGUCAAUUCCACCCUGAUGAUUUUUGCUGAUGUUGAGAGCAAAAGUCAACUGAAAGUUAUUAACCGAGAGGUGAACAUGGUCGCUCCGGCGACACCUAGUUACCUGAAAUGGUCUCAGACUGCCAUAACGUUCGACCAGUCCGACCACCUAACGCACAUCGCCACCCCUGGGAGGCAAGCUUUGGUGGUCGAUCCAGUUGUUGAAGGCACUCGACUGACCAAAGUCCUGAUGGAUGGUGGCAGUGGUUUGAACAUAUUAUACGCUGAGACGUUGAAGGGGAUGGGCAUUCCGAUGUCCAGACUCAGUGCCAGCAACAUGAGUUUCCAUGGAGUCAUUCCUGGGAAGAAGGCUGAAUCACUCGGCCAGAUUGCUCUUGAUGUGGUUUUCGGUGAUUCCAAGAAUUACCGCAAAGAAAGAUUGACAUUUGAAGUUGUAGACUUCCAGAGUGCCUAUCACACUAUUUUGGGCAGGCCGGCUUAUGCACGCUUCAUGGCCCGACCAUGUUACGUGUAUCUCAAAUUGAAGAUGCCUGGCCCCAAAGGUGUGAUCACCAUUACGGGCAAUCGGAAGAAAGCGGAAGAAUGUUUUCAGAAGGGUUCGAAGAUCGCCGACGCACAGAUGGCAGUGGUGGAGUUGCAGGAAUACCAGAAGACUGCAGACCCGAGUGAUCUGUUGUGAGCCAAGAAGCUCGCUACAGAAUCAGCUUUCCAAUCGACUGGCGACACGAAGACAGCUCACAUCCACCCGACCGACCCCAGCGCCGCCCUGACUCAUAUCUCGACAACACUCGACUCCAAAUAGGAAGAAGCGCUCAUCCAGUUCCUCCGUGAGAACUGGGACAUCUUCGCGUGGAAACCUUCUGACAUGCCAGGUGUUCCCAAGGAGCUGGCUGAGCAGCGCCUGAGAGUCGACUCAAAAGUAAAACCUGUCAAGGAACAUCUUCGACGGUCCGCCGUCCAAAAAAGAAAAGCUAUUGGCGAAGAGGUGGCUCGGCUCUUAGCAGCGGAGUUCAUCCGAGAGAUCUACCACUCCGAGUGGCUCGCCAAUGUUGUCAUGGUCCCCAAGAAGGACAAGUCACUUCGCAUGUGCAUUGACUUUAAACAUAUCAAUCGGGCCUGCCCGAAAGAUCAUUUUCCUCUCCCCUGCAUCGACCAGAUAGUCGACUCGACUGCGGGAUGUGAGCGGCUGUCUUUCUUAGACGCCUAUUCCGGGUGCCAUCAGAUCCGUCUGUAUGGACCUGACGAGAUCAAGACAGCUUUCAUCACUCCAUUCGGGUGCUUCUGUUAUGUUACCAUGCCGUUCGGCCUCAAGAAUGCCGGAGCCACAUUCAUGAGUAUGAUUCAGAAGUGUUUACUCACUCAAAUCAGUCGGAACGUGGAAGCAUACAUGGAUGAUAUUGUGGUCAAGUCACGGAAGGGUUCUGACCUACUGACUGACCUUGCUGAAACCUUUGCCAACCUCAGGAGGUAUGAUAUCAAGCUUAAUCCAUCAAAGUGUACAUUCGGAGUCCCUGGCGGAAAGUUACUCGGCUUUCUCAUUUCCGAACGGGGAAUCGAUGCCAAUCCAGAAAAAGUUGGCACUAUACUCCGAAUGAAAAGCCCUGUGCGAGUGCACGACGUCCAGAAGCUUACUGGUUGUUUGGCCGCCCUAAGUCGAUUCAUAUCUCGUCUCGGUGAAAAGGCAUUACCUCUUUACCGAUUGAUGAAGAAGUCCGACAAGUUCGAGUGGACUCCCGAAGCUGAUGCAGCGUUUGCAGAGCUCAAAGCUCUGCUCUCCACCCAGUCGGUGCUUGCUGCCCCAAUCAGCAAAGAGCCUUUGUUGCUUUACAUUGCAGCCACAGGACAAGUCGUCAGUACGGUACUUACGGUCGAGCAGGAAGAAGAAGGGAAAACCUUCAAAGUUCAGCGACCAGUAUAUUAUAUUUCUGAAGUCUUGACCCCAUCGAAGCAAAGAUAUCCUCACUAUCAGAAGCUUGUAUAUGGGAUCUAUAUGACCACCAAGAAAGUUGCUCACUAUUUCUUUGAUCAUUCCAUUACAGUCGUCAGCGACGCUCCAUUAUCAAAGAUCCUGCAUAACAGGGAUGCAACUGGUCGAGUGGCAAAAUGGGCGAUUGAACUCCUUCCCCUUGAUAUCAAGUUUGAGGCAAAGAAAGCUAUCAAGUCCCAAGCAAUCACAGAUUUCGUCGCCGAGUGGAUUGAACAGCAGCUGCCGACUCAGAUUCACUCGGAGCAUUGGACUAUGUUUUUCGACGGCUCCAAGAUGCUGAGUGGUUCCGGCGCCGGAGUGGUGUUGGUCUCCCCCAGAGGAGAUAAACUCAGAUAUGUUCUUCAAAUCCAUUUGAUUCCUCCAAUAACGAGGCAGAAUAUGAAGCACUUUUAUAUGGGUUGCGCAUGGCCAUCUCACUCGGCGUCCGUCGCCUCAUGGUCUAUGGCGACUCAGAUUUGGUGGUUAAUCAGGUGAUAAAGGAGUGGGAUGUCAGAAGUCCAGCCAUGACUGGUUAUUGCAAUGCAGUGAGAAAGCUGGAGAAGAAAUUCGAGGGGUUAGAGCUUCAUCACAUACCCCGACUGAAAAAUCAAGCAGCUGAUGAUUUGGCAAAAGUAGGUUCCAAAAGAGAAGCCAUUCCCAGCAAUGUGUUUUUGGAAAACAUCCACACACCAUCAGUCCAGGAGGAUCCCUUCACGGAAGAGGCCCCGCAGCCAAAAAGCGCCACGGAUCUGACUGAAGUUGAAGUUCCAGCUGUGGUCGAUUUGAUAAUGGAAGUGCUGGUUAUCACUCCUCUCUGGACAGAACCGUACAUCGCGUACAUUCUAAGGAAAGAACUCCUAGAAGACGAGGAAGAGGCUCGACAGAUCGUCCGUCGAUCCAAGGCCUUUACAGUCAUAAAGGGACAGUUAUAUAGGGAAAGCGCGACUGGGGUCGGCCAGAAGUGUAUCACACCAGAAGAAGGUCAGAUGAUCCUUACCGAUAUCCACUCAGGGACCUGUGGUCAUCAUGCGUCCUCUCGAACCAUUGUGGCUAAAGCAUACCGAGCGGGGUUCUACUGGCCAGGGGCCAAUGAGAUGGCUAAAGAGAUAGUCGACAAAUGUGAAGGGUGUCAGUAUUACUCCAAUAUGUCGCACAAGCCCGCGUCAGCCUUGAAAACCAUUCCACUCGUCUGGCCCUUCGCUGUUUGGGGACUGGACAUGGUUGGGCCACUGAGAACAGGCAGGAGCGGCUUCACUCAUGUGCUGGUAGCAGUCGACAAGUUCACCAAAUGGAUUGAAGCCAAGCCUAUCAAGAAUCUCGAUGCUUGCACCGCUAUCAGUUUCAUCAGAGAAUUGAUAUUCAGAUAUGGAGUUCCGCACAGUAUCAUCACGGACAAUGGAUCAAACUUCGAUUCCGACAAGUUCAGGGCCUUUUGCGCCUCUCAGGGUACUCGGGUCGACUAUGCUUCGGUCGCUCACCCCCAGUCAAAUGGACAAGCAGAAAGGGCAAAUGGCCUAAUUCUCAAAGGGCUGAAACCCCAAUUGAUGCGCGACCUCAAGCACGCAGCAGGUGCAUGGGUCGACGAGCUCCCAUCAGUCCUUUGGGGAUUGAGGACAACUUCGAAUCAAUCGACCGGAAGAACCCCAUUCUUUCUGGUCUACGGAGCCGAGGCAGUCUUACCGAGCGACCUGCUUCACAACGCUCCCAGAGUCGAGCUCUACUCAGAAGAUGAAGCAGAACAAGCCCGGCAGGAUGCAGUCGACCUCCUAGAAGAAGAAAGAGAAAUGGCCCUGAUCCGAUCGACCAUCUAUCAGCAAGACUUGCGUCGAUUCCAUGCCAGAAACGUGAAGAGCCGAGCCUUCCAAGAAGGAGACUUAGUCCUUCGAGUGGAUCAGCAGAAACCACACAAGCUUGCUCCUACUUGGGAAGGCCCCUUCAUAGUCACCAGAGUCCUCCACAAUGGAGCAUACCACCUCUACAAUGUCGAUCGCCAGAUUGAUGAGCCACGAGCCUGGAAUGCGGAGCUACUCCGCCCCUUUUAUACUUGAAUUCUCACUCGGACGAGAUGUAAUAAGAAAAACUCCUGUAGUUUAUUUAUCAAAGACAAGAGCGUUAUAAUUUUCCCAGUAAUUAUUAUUGUUUUUGUUUGCGUAAGAAAUCCCCCAGCGGGUGGCUUAGCUGCGAAUCCGCUUCGCCUAAGUUUGAAAAAUCCUACCGAGUGGAGAGCAAUCCUCCCACUCGGGGGCUUAGCUGUGAAUCCGUUUUGCCUAAGUUUGAAAAAUCCUACCGAGUGGAGAGCAAUCCUCCCACUCGGGGGCUUAGCUGCAGUCCAGUACUCGCCAAAGUUCUCCCACUCAGAGACUUAGCUGCAGUCAGGCACUCACCUAAGUUUGUAAAAAUCCUACCGAGUGGAGAGCAACCCUCCCAUUCGGGGGCUUAGCUGCAGUCCAGUACUCGCCUAAGUUCUCCCACUCAGAGACUUAGCUGCAGUCAGGCACUCGCCUAAGUUUGAAAAAUCCUACCGAGUGGAGAGCAACCCUCCCACUCGGGGGCUUAGCUGCAGUCCAGUACUCGCCUAAGUUCUCCCACCUAGAGACUUAGCUGCAGUCAGGUACUCGCCUAAGUUUGAAAAAACCCUACCGAGUGGAGAGCAAUCCUCCCACUCGGGGGCUUAGCUGCAGUCCAGUACUCGCCUAAGUACUCCCAAACACAUCUCAAUCCUCAAGGAUGACGAGGGGCAGGUCGACUGCCACCUUCUCCUGGAGAGCUUCGCCACAAAUACAAUGCGCGAUUCAUCCCGCUCUACAGUAACGAAGUACGAGUCGACUGCCACCUUCUCCUGGAGAGCUUCUCCACAAAUAUAAUGCGCGAUUCAUCCCGCUCUACAGUAACGAAGUACGGGUCGACUGCCCCCCUUCUCCCGGAGAGCUUCGCCACAAAUACAAUGUGCGCUCCGUCCCACUCUGUAGUAACAGGGUGUGGGUCGACCGCCGCCCGCCCCUGGGGAGCUUCGCCACAAAUACAAGGCAUGGGUCGACUACUUCCCCCUCCUUCGGAGCUGUGCUGCGAAUACAUAAAGUUGUCUCGAAUGAAGAAUGGGUUCACUCAGCAUGAGAUUCAUAAAGAUAUUCAACGGUAAACCAAGUUCGGAUAAAUUCUAAAGGUUCCAGACCACAAAUCGAAGUACUCAGGCAUGUAGCCCGAAAAAGUUUAACGGUUACAAAAACCACUCGGCAUUCCGAGGCAAAUUUAAGGUGAGACAUAAGAGUUUGUUCACUCCGCGGGAGGAGGGCUGGCAGGCUCGACGAACUCAUCCAGGUCGACGCCGUCGGCUAUCCGAGUGGCUGCAGCGAUGAAAGUCUCCAUAAAGGUUCGGAAGUCAUGCUUCUGGGUGUUGGCGACCUUGAUUGCUGCCAGCUUGUCUUGUCGCACCUCCUUGCAGUGGACACGAACCAAGGACAGAGCCACAUCAGCGCCACACCGAGCAGAAGACUUCUUCCACUCCUGCACUCGGUCAGGGAUUCCGUUAAGUCGAGUCAUCAGAGACUCAAGAUCGUUUUGGAGCGUAGCCUCUGGCCAAAGUGCCGGGUCGAUCCGUGACAUGGCGACCUUCAGUUGAGCCAAGUAGUCCACGGCACCGUCAAUGCGAGAUUCCAGUCGGAGCAGAUUCAUGGCAGCUUCAUCUUUCACGGGAGAGUUGAUUGGAUCCAAACCUGGUUCGAACCGCCCAGUCUCCUCUUCAAAGUUCUGGCAAAACUCUGCGUUCACGAUCCAAGGAUAAGUCAAUUUUCAUACACUGAGUCGACAUAAAAAAAUCAGUCGGAACUAAAUGUGCACCUUCAAGUUUGAUAUACAACUUCUUGGCAAGGCUCCUCAGGUAGCUCUCCAGAUCGUCCCUCCUACGAGCGACGCCUUCCAUCUUUUCGGUCAGGUUGAGGUUCUCCUUCUUCCAACGUGUGCACUCCCUGUUGGCUUCAUUUAGAGCAGUCUUCAGCAUGGUAUUCUCUUCUUCCAACUGGCCGACUGAAGCCAGCUUCUGUUCGGCCAGAGUGGUCCUGUCGUCAGCCUCCUUCUGGGCAGCAGACAAAUCCUGAUCCGUUUUCGCCAAAGCCUCUCUCAGUUUUUCUGCAAAGAAAUGAUGAUUGAUUCAGAAAUAGCAGAAGGGUGCUCAAGCCUAAAACUGACCAGUCGACAGACUUGUCUUACUGGCGGUGUCGUCUCUGACCGUCUGCAGUUCUGUCUUGGCCAGCUCCAAGUCAAGUUUCAGUUGAAUCUGCUGACUUUCCAAAUCAGCGAAGCGAGCUCCAAGAUCACAAGAUUUCUGAAAUCAAAGGGGAGAAAUUAUUCCAUAGCAAAAAAUGACAAAUACUAAGACUAUAGUCAACUGCCCGCAGUCCACCAUAGUCUCGGGGACUACACCCAGUGGGUGCACUUUGCGUGCCCCCACCGGUUCUGAUUCCACUCGACCGGCCCGCCGGAGUCGAGUUCAAAAAAAGAAGAAGAAAGAGAGACAAAGUAGAACUCAGACCACGGUCGACUGCCCGCAGUCGACCGCGGUCUCGGGGACUACACCCAGUGGGUGCACUUUGCGUGCCCCCACCGGUUCUGAUUCGACUCGACCGGAUCGAGCGGAAGAAACAAACUACCAGUUCGGUUUUACUUGACAAAAUACAAAGACUACGGUCGACUGCAGCAGUCCGUCAUAGCCUCGGGGACUACACCCAGUGGGUGCACUCAGUGUGCCCCCACUAGUCCAGAAAAUUCAAUCGACACACCCAGUGGGUGUACAAAUGAAAAGAUUUUCAGAAAGAAUCUCCAAAUAGCAUAUCCUAACAGAACAAGCGGCGACCAACUAACCUGAACAUUGCUCUGGAGAGCCGAGCUGACAUCAUAGGCGGCUUGGCUGGCGUCCCGCACCGUCUUCAUCUUCUCCAUCAUAAUGCCUGCCUGGCGUAUGGCUUCCCUAGCAGCAUUCACCUCGUCCUUCGAGACAUGAUGGGUUGCAAAAAAUGAAGGCGGGUCGACAUGGGCCUGAGCAGUCGAAGAAGAAGGCAAGGCACUCGACAGGGGCUCCAUGAAGGUAAAAGAACCACGAUUGACGUCACCAGUGUCCUGAACGACUAGUUCCGCCCUCGGCGUCGACUGUAGCGCCUCACUUAUAGGAGCUCGCCUACUCUUCCUCGUCAAAGACCUCUCGGGCUCUUCAUCAUCAGGGAGGUCAAUAAUGUUGGGAGUUGUACAAAGUUCAAAUUGCCAAAAUCACGUCACCCAGUGAUGCACGAUGCAGUUGAAUCGACCAAAGAAAGAUACUAUGGCAGAAAUCAUACCCGGAUUAGAAGUGACCGCAUCCUCCAUCACCUCAUCAUCGUCCCUGUAAGCUGAGGUCCCGGAAGUAGCAGCACUAACAAUUCCAAAGUUCGUCCAGUUAAAACAAGAAAAACAAACAACGCGGAGCGUCGAGUGAAUACAAGGAGAGACACUCACGCGGAGGCGACAGGGAUAUCGAUCUUGAUCUUCGGCAGCGCCUUCCGAGUCUUCGAUUCUGCAACUUUGGGAUGCUUUGGCGCCUUCUCAGUCGUGGUUGGUGAAGAGGUCCGAGGACGCUUCAAAGACUGACCAGCCUGAGCAGUCGCCUUGUCGCGGGCACUCGGCCGAUCCUGGUCAAGCUUGGAUCAUCUCUCUAUGCGAGGAGGCGGCUCGGCUUCUUCCUCAUCACUCAAGUCGUCGCUUCCUCCAUCCCCUUCACCAUCGAAAGUCCACUCGCCACUUUCGCCACCACUCACCUCGCUUUCCAGAGCUUGCUCUUGCUCCCCGUUGGGCAUCGAAUACAUUUCAAUAAUGGCCUGAAAGAAAGCAGGGAGAAAAAAGUCAGUCGACGCAAUACAGACAGCUGCGCGAGUGAAUUCAGAUUACAAGCAAAAACUCAGAAUCAGACCUGCUCUAGUGCACGCGACUGGUCGAAUGGGGGAACUCUCCUGGCUCCUCUGGGGUUGUCCUUGUUCCUGGUGAUGCUCGACAACCACUUCUCCAGCAUGUCGUCAUUGACCUCCUCCAGGUGGAUCCGAGUGGACUCUUCUAGACCCGAAUACAUCCACAUCGGGUGGUCUCGGGCUUGGAGAGGCUGGAUGUGCCGGCGAAGGAAGACCUCCAAGAGAUCCAUACCAGUGACCCCGUCACGAAUGAGCUGGACCACUCGGUUGACCAACACCUUCACGUGCGCCUUCUCCUCCGGGAGCACCUUCAAAGGGGAGGGUUUUUCCACUCGGUCCAUGGUGAAGGGAGGGGAGGCCAGUCGAUUACCCUGGCGUUGACUGGUCUUUGAAGUAGAACCAGGUCGACUGCCACCCGCGAACUGAAUCGGGAAGAAUCAUGGCCGGAAAGGAGCUUUUUCCCCUCGUCUGGAUGCCAAGACCCCCACACAUCUGGAUCACUUGGGUCCUCUCGUCACCCGGGUUAGCCUUUUUCACUGUCUGGGAGCGACAAGUGAAAAUAUGCUUGAAAAGACCCCAGUGAGGUCGACAACCCAAGAAGUUCUCACACAAGGAAAUGAACGUGGCAAGAUAAACGAUUGAGUUGGGGUUAAAGUGGUGGAGUUGAGCCCCGAAGAAGUUCAGAAACCCUCGGAAGAAAGGAUGAGGAGGCAAGGAAAACCCACGGUCGACGUGGGUGGCAAGAAGAACGCGCUCACCCACCCGGGGUUGCGGCUCGGAUUCCUUCCCCGGAAGCCGCGCCGAGUCGUAAGGGAUCAGCCCUCCCUCGGCCAGGUCGUCGAGGUCUUCUUGGGAGAUCCUCGAGUGGAUCCAAUCGCCCUGGAUCCAACCGCUCGCAGGCCAGUCCGCGAGGAAGAUCCGCCCCGGCUCGUCGCCUUCCCCUUCGAUUUCGCCGUCGCCUUCUUCGCCCGCUCCAGAGCCGCUGUCUUCUCCUUCACCAUUGUCGCCGACGAGGCGUGUGUGGUGCGGUGGCGCUGGGGCGAGAGCGAGCGCAGCAGAGAGGCGUGAGGAGGAGAAGAGGUAAUGGGACGCACUGUUCGGGGGACUCCGGUCCAACGCCUUAUAUGAGGCCGCUUCCGAGUGGCUGACUGGUAGGCCCAGAUGGCUCCGUCAAAUCUCGUAACGACCGCGUGAGCGAUACGUCGCGAAAAGGGUGGCGCGGGGAUCGAGGCGGCUCCGCUCUAUCCCAUCCGAUUACUGCGGCCUCCCCCGUCCCGCGCGCUUCCCAAAAUUCGGAUCCCACUAAAUCCGCGGGAAGCAAACAAACUUGUCAGACUAAAAGAUCUCCUCCGCAUCGUCACUCGGAGCCUUACAGGUAAAGAAACUCACUCGACGAAGAAUUAAGAAUGGAUCAAGGCGACUGAAAAGGAAGUUGCCGUCAUCACUCGGGUCCAUUGAUCCGGAGCAAGAUAUGCUCACGGCAUGAAAAACGAGUCGGAGAGGUCCUCAACUCCUUCCCCACUCAAACCUUGAUCCAUUCGGGGGCUAAUGAUGAAGCUAUGGACCUAGGGUAGGGUCAUGGACCUGUCCUAACUGCCCUACCCAAGGACAUCUCUAGAAGGAAUCGCCUUUCAAUCGACUUGAAGGUGUCCCACUCGACCGACUCGAAGACACUCGACCAAGAAGCAAUCGCUCGACCAAGACCCAACCACUCGAUGGCCAGGAGACCUAAAGGCGCCCCGCACGCUAACGGUCGGUCAUUAAGUAGCUCUUAUGGUCAUCAUAGCACUUUAUUACCAGCGUUACCAGAAAUGCCCUGCCUUAAUGUACAUUGAACCCUUCAUAACGUGGGCUGGCCGGGGUCCUGGCGCACUCUAUAUAAGCCACCCCCUCCUCCGAGACAAGGGUUCACACCUCUGUAACUCAUACACACAUAAUCCAGUCAACUACCUCCGGGCUCCGAGAUGUAGGGCUUUUACUUCCUCCGAGAAGGGCCUGAACUCGUAAACCCUGCGUCCUUACAACCACUCCAUAGCUAAGACCUCGCCUCUCCAUACUUACCCCCUACAUUACUGUCAGACUUAGGACCACGACAGUCUCUUUAUUGUAUGCAAUGCAAUUGCGCUGUAAUGCUUUACUUUAUCACUAAGCGGUAGCGAUAGUCAUGGAAGCAUAAGAUUGGCGAGACGACAAUGAUGCUACGAUGGAGAUCAAGGUGUCGCGCCGGUGACGAUGGUGAUCAUGACAAUGCUUCGGAGAUGGAGAUCACAAGCACAAGAUGAUGAUGGCCAUAUCAUAUCACUUAUAUUGAUUGCAUGUGAUGUUUAUCUUUUAUGCAUCUUAUCUUGCUUUGAUUAACGGUAGCAUUAUAAGAUGAUCUCUCACUAAAUUUUAAGAUAAAAGUGUUCUCCCUGAGUAUGCACCGUUGCCAAAGUUCGUCGUGCCCAGACACCACGUGAUGAUCGGGUGUGAUAAGCUCUACGUCCAUCUACAAUGGGUGCAAGCCAAUUUUGCACACGCAGAAUACUCAGGUUAAACUUGACGAGCCUAGCAUAUGCAGAUAUGGCCUCGGAACACUGAGACCGAAAGGUCGAGCGUGCAUCAUAUAGUAGAUAUGAUCAACAUAAUGAUGUUCACCAUUGAAAGCUAUUCUAUUUCACGUGAUGAUCGGUUAUGGUUUAGUUGAUUUGGAUCACGUGAUCACUUAGAAGAUUAGAGGGAUGUCUAUCUAAGUGGGAGUUCUUAAGUAAUAUGAUUAAUUGAACUUAAAUUUAUCAUGAACUUAGUCCUGGUAGUAUUUUGCAAAUCAUGUUGUAGAUCAAUAGCUCGCGUUGUUGCUUCCCUGUGUUUAUUUUGAUAUGUUCCUAGAGAAAUUGUGUUGAAAUAUGUUAGUAGCAAUGAUGCGGAUUGGAUCCGUGAUCUGAGGUUUAUCCUCAUUGCUGCACAGAAGAAUUAUGUCCUUGAUGCACCGCUAGGUGACAGACCUAUUGCAGGAGCAGAUGCAGACGUUAUGAACGUUUAGCUAGCUCAAUAUGAUGACUACUUGAUAGUUUAGUGCACCAUGCUUAACGGCUUAGAAUCAGGACUUCAAAGACGUUUUGAACGUCAUGGACCAUAUGAGAUUUUCCAGGAGUUGAAGUUAAUAUUUCAAGCAAAUACCCGAGUUGAGAGAUAUGAAGUCUCCAACAAGUUCUAUAGCUAAAAGAUGGAGGAGAAUCGCUCAACUAGUGAGCAUGUGCUCAGAUUGUCUGGGUACUACAAUCGCUUGAAUCUAGUGGGAGUUAAUCUUCCAGAUAAGAUAGUGAUUGACAGAAUUCUCUAGUCACCAUCACUAAGUUAGUAGAACUUCGUGAUGAACUAUAGUAUGCAAGGGAUGACGAAAAUGACUCCCGAGCUUUUCAUGAUGAUGAAAUCGAUGAAGGUAGAAAUCAAGAAAGAGCAUCAAGUGUUGAUGGUUGACAAGAUCACUAGUUUCAAGAAAAGGGCAAAGGGAAAAGGGGGACCUUCAAGAAAAAUAGCAAGCAAGUUGUUGCUCAAGUGAAGAAGCCCAAGUCUGGUCCUAAGCCUGAGACUAAGUGUUUCUACUGCAAAGGGACUGGUCACUGGAAGCGGAACUACCCCAAGUAUUUGGCGGAUAAGAAGGAUGGCAAAGUGAACAUAAGUAUAUUUGAUAUACAUGUUAUUGAUGUGUACUUUACUAGUGUUUAUAGCAACCCCUCAGUAUUUGAUACUAGUUCAGUUGCUAAGAUUAGUAACUCGAAACGGGAGUUGCAGAAUAAACAGAGACUAGUUAAAGGUGAAGUGAUGAUGUGUGUUGGAAGUGGUUCCAAGAUUGAUAUGAUCAUCAUCGCACACUCCCUAUACUUUCGGGAUUAAUGUUAAACCUAAAUAAGUGUUAUUUGGUGUUUGCGUUGAGCAUGAAUAUAAUUUGAUCAUGUUUAUUGUAAUACGGUUAUUCAUUUAAGUAAGAGAAUAAAUUGUUGUUCUGUUUACAUGAAUAAAACCUUAUAUGGUUACACACCCAAUGAAAAUAGUUUAUUGGAUCUCGAUCGUAGUGAUACACAUAUUCAUAAUGUUGAAGCCAAAAGAUGCAGAGUUGAUAAUGAUAGUGCAACUUAUUUGUGGCACUGCCGUUUAGGUCAUAUUGGUGUAAAGCGCAUGAAGAAACUCCAUGCUGAUGGGCUUUUGGAACCACUUGAUUAUGAAUCACUUGAUACUUGCGAACCGUGCCUCAUGGGCAAGAUGACUAAAACACCGUUCUCUGGUACUAUGGAGAGAGAAACAGAUUUGUUGGAAAUCAUACAUACAGAUGUAUGUGGUCCAAUGAAUGUUGAAGCUCGUGGCGGUAUCGUUAUUUUCUCACCUUCACAAAUGAUUUAAGCAGAUAUGGGUAUAUCUACUUAAUGAAACAUAAGUCUGAAACAUUUGAAAAGUUCAAAGAAUUUCAGAGUGAAGUUGAAAAUCAUCGUAACAAGAAAAUAAAGUUUCUACGAUCUGAUCGUGGAGGAGAAUAUUUGAGUUACGAGUUUGGUCUACAUUUGAAACAAUGCGGAAUAGUUUCGCAACUAACGCCACCCGGAACACCACAGCGUAAUGGUGUGUCCGAACGUUGUAAUCGUACUUUACUUGAUAUGGUGCGAUCUAUGAUGUCUCUUACAGAUUUACCACUAUCGUUUUGGGGUUAUGCUCUAGAGACAGCCGCAUUCACGUUAAAUAGGGCACCAUCAAAAUCAGUUGAGACGACGCCUUAUGAACUGUGGUUUGGCAAGAAACCAAAGUUGUCGUUUUUGAAAGUUUGGGGCUGCGAUGCUUAUGUGAAAAAACUUCAACCUGAUAAGCUCGAACCCAAAUCGGAGAAAUGUGUCUUCAUAGGAUACCCAAAGGAGACUGUUGGGUACACCUUCUAUCACAGAUCCGAAGGCAAGACAUUUGUCGCUAAGAAUGGAUCCUUUCUAGAGAAGGAGUUUCUCUCGAAAGAAGUGAGUGGGAGCAAAGUAGAACUUGAUGAGGUAACUGUACCUGCUCCCUUAUUGGAAAGUAGUACAUCGCAGAAACCGGUUUCUGUGACACCUACACCAAUUAGUGAGGAAGCUAAUGAUAAUGAUCAUGAAACUUCAGAACAAGUUACUACCGAACCUCGUAUAUCAACCAGAGUAAGAUCCACACCAGAGUGGUAUGGUAACCCUGUUCUGUAAGUCAUGCUACUAGAUCAUGAUGAAUCUACGAACUAUGAAGAAGUGAUGGUGAGCCCAGAUUCCGCAAAAUGGCUUGAAGCCAUGAAAUCUGAGAUGGGAUCCAUGUAUGAGAACAAAGUAUGGACUUUGGUUGACUUGCCCAAUGAUCGGCAAGCAAUUGAGAAUAAAUGGAUCUUCAAGAAGAAGACUGACGCUGACAGUAAUGUUACUGUCUACAAAGCUCGACUUAUCGAAAAAGGUUUUUGAUAAAGUUCAAGGUGUUGACUACGAUGAGAUUUUCUCACUCGUAUCGAUGUUUAAAGUCUGUCUGAAUCAUGUUAGCAAUUGCCGCAUUUUAUGAAAUGUGGCAAAUGGAUAAACAAAAUUGCAAUCCUUAAUGGAUUUCUUAAAGAAGAGUUGUAUAUGAUGCAACCAGAAGGUUUUGUCAAUCCUAAAGGUGUUAACAAAAAUGUGCAAGCUCCAGCGAUCCAUCUAUGGACUAGUACAAGCAUCUCGGAGUUGGAAUAUACGCUUUGAUGAGUUGAUCAAAGCAUAUAGUUUUAUACAGACUUGCGGUGAAGCCUGUAUUUAUAAGAAAGUGAGUGGGAGCACUACAGCAUUUCUGAUAAGUAUAUGUGAGUGACAUAUUGUUGAUCGGAAAUAAUGUAGAAUUAUUCUGUAAAGCAUAAAGAAGUGUUUGAAAGGAGUUUUUCAAAGAAAGACCUCGGUGAAGCUGCUUACAUAUUGAGCAUCAAGAUCUAUAGAGAUAGAUCAAGACGCUUGAUAAGUUUUUUCAAUGAGUACAUACCUUGACAAGAUUUUGAAGUAGUUCAAAAUGGAACAGUCAAAGAAAGAGUUCUUGCCUGUGUUACAAGGUGUGAAAUUGAGUAAGGCUCAAAGCCCGACCACGGCAAAAGAUAGAAAGAGAAUGAAAGUCAUUCCUUAUGCCUCAGCCAUAGAUUCUAUAAAGUAUGCCAUGCUGUGUACCAGAUCUAUUGUAUACCCUGCCCUGCGUUUGGCAAGGGAGUACAAUAGUGAUCUAGGAGUAGAUCAUUGGACAUUGGUCAAAAUUAUCCUUAGUAGAAUAAGGAUAUGUUUCUCGAUUAUGAAGGUGACAAAAGUUUCAUCGUAAAGGGUUACGUCGAAGCAAAUUUUGAAACUGAUCUAGAUGACUCUAAGUCUCGAUCUAGAUACAUACUGAAAGUGGGAGCAAUUAGUUAGAGUAGCUACAUGCAGAGCAUUUUGACAUAGAAAUUUGCAAAAUACUUACGGAUCUGAAUGUGGCAGACCCAUUGACUAAACUUCUCUCACAAGCAAAACAUGAUCACACCUUAGUACUCUUUGGGUAUUAAUCACAUAGCAAUGUGAACUAGAUUAUUGACUCUAGUAAACCCUUUGGGUGUUGGUCACAUGUCGAUGUGAACUAUAGGUGUUAAUCACAUGGUGAUGUGAACUACUGGUGUUAAAUCACAUGGAGAUGUGAACUAGAUUAUUGACUCUAGUGCAAGUGGGAGACUGAAGGAAAUAUGCCCUAGAGGCAAUAAUAAAGUUAUUAUUUAUUUCCUUAUAUCAUGAUAAAUGUCUAUUAUUCAUGCUAGAAUUGUAUUAACCAGAAACAUAAUACAUGUGUGAAUACAUAGAGACAAACAGAGUGUCACUAGUAUGCCUCUACUUGACUAGCUCGUUAAUCGAAGAUGGUUAUGUUUCCUAACCAUAGACAUGUGUUGUCAUUUGAUUAACGAGAUCACAUCAUUAGGAGAAUGAUGUGAUUGACAUGACCCAUUCCAUUAGCUUAGCACCCGAUCGUUUAGUAUGUUGCUAUUGCUUUCUUCAUGACUUAUACAUGUUCCUAUGACUAUGAGAUUAUGCAACUCCCGUUUGUCGGAGGAACACUUUGUGUGCUACCAAACAUCACAACGUAACUGGGUGAUUAUAAAGGAUCUCUGCAGGUGUCUCCAAAGGUACAUGUUGGGUUGGCGUAUUUCGAGAUUAGGAUUUGUCACUCCGAUUGUCGGAGAGGUAUCUCUGGGCCCUCUCGGUAAUGCACAUCACAUAAGCCUUGCAAGCAUUGCAACUAAUGAGUUAGUUGCGAGAUGAUGUAUUACGAAACGAGUAAAGAGACUUGCCGGUAACGAGAUUGAACUAGGUAUUGAGAUACCGACGAUCGAAUCUCGGGCAAGUAGCAUACCGAUGACAAAGGGAACAACGUAUGUUAUUAUGCGGUCUGACCGAUAAAGAUCUUCGUAGAAUAUGUGGGAGCCAAUAUGAGCAUCCAGGUUCCGCUAUUGGUUAUUGACCGGAGACGUGUCUCGGUCAUGUCUACAUUGUUCUCGAACCCGUAGGGUCCGCACGCUUAAGGUUUCGAUGACAGUUAUAUUAUGAGUUUAUGAGUUUUGAUGUACCGAGGGAGUUCGGAGUCCCGGAUGAGAUCAGGGACAUGACGAGGAGUCUCAAAAUGGUCGAGACAUAAAGAUCGAUAUAUUGGACGACUAUAUUCGGACAUCGGAAAGGUUUCGAGUGAUUCGGGUAUUUUCGGAGGUACCGGGGAGUUACGGGAAUACAAGGAAGAAGCAAUGGGCCUUAAUGGGCCUUAGUGGGAAGGACCAGGAGGUGGCGCGCCCCCCUCCCAAGCCCAGUACGAAUUGGACAAGGGGUUUGGGGCGCGGCCCCUCUCUCCCUUCCUUCCCCUCUUCCCACUUUACCCCUUCUCCUAGUUGGAGUAGGAAAGGAGGAAACCUACUCCAACUAGGAGUAGGAAUCCUACUCCCUGGCGCGCCCCUCCUAGGGCCGGCCUCCUUCCCCUUACUCCUUUAUAUACGGGGGAGGGGGGCACCUCUAGACACACAAGUUGAUCCUCGUGAUCGUUUUCUUAGCCGUGUUCGGUGCCCCCUUCCACCAUACUCCUCGAUAAUAUUGUAGUGGUGCUUAGGCGAAGCCCUGCGUCGGUAGAACAUCAAGAUCGUCACCACGCCGUCGUGCUGACGGAACUCUUCCCCGACACUUUGAUGGAUCGGAGUCCGGGGAUCGUCAUCGAGCUGAACGUGUGCUAAAACCCGGAGGUGUCGUAGUUUCGGUGCUUGAUCGGUCGGGCCGUGAAGACGUACGACUACAUCAACCGCGUUGUUAUAACGCUUCCGCUUUCGGUCUAUGAGGGUACGUAGAUUACACUCUCCCCUCUUGUUGCUAUGCAUCACCAUGAUCUUGCGUGUGCGUAGAAAUUUUUUGAAAUUACUACGUUCCCCAACAAUGGCAUGUCCAACCCUUGUUCUGUCACCGGGGGAAACUCUAGGCUCGGUUUGCCGGGCCAGACAGUGGCGGCGUCUCAGCGCCGUCCUCUUAUUUGAGGGCGCUUCCUAGGUGCUCAGGGUGGGUCCGGAGGAGCAGCUGGUUUGUUGCCUUGCACGCUUCGGCGGUGAGGCUUGGGGUGCCAAGUUGUCAUGCGCGGGGUGUUGCUGGGGACAUGAGCAUCCAGGGCGCUAUGUACUCCAUAAUCAACACCUUUCCGACGGCGUCUUCUCCUAGUCAGACUAUCUCCCGUUGUCCGCUCGCCGAUCCUCUAGGCACCAAGAAUGGAGAGUGCGUUGAGCUAGUUUGGUUAGGUGUUUUUGUCGUCUUUUGAGUUGUUUGGUAUAGGGGGGGCGUGGCCUGUGUGCUCUGUGACCGUCCUCUUCGCCAUUGUUGGCUCAAGUUUGGUCAAGGCGGGUUAGUUGACGGUGUUGUCACGGUGAAUGUGGGUGCUAUCUUCUGUGGUCGCACGUUGCCGAAAAGCGUUGUACCAGCCGUUUUGGCUCUUCUUCUUUAAUAUAUAGUACGCACCCUCGUGCGUAUUCGAGAAAAAAGUAGCAUCAAAAGGAUACAAAUUAAAUUAUGCGACACGAGACCUCUGCAUAGUUAAAAUGCACACAACCAAAGACAACAAGGCGGGUUAAUUGAAUUAUGUUGAUCCAUUCUUUCUAACCAGCCAUGAUGAUGCGGCGCAAUGAGCCGUCCUUGUCCCUAGCACCGAAUCGUCAAUGUCGCUGGUUGUCUCGAACCAGCCGAGCCGAGGUGGCCGGAGCGACGCGCCAUCGCCCAUCGGGAUCACACGGCAGGACGAACAGAUAGAUGACGGGCGCAUGGGUCCCAUCAUCAGAAAAUGAAACUAAACCACAGCCCUUAAUUGCAAGUCUUGUCCUCAGUCCACGGUAGCCAUUCACAUUCAUCUCCCUCUCUCUCUCUCUCGCGCGCGCGUCGGAGGGAGAGUCCUUGGGUCUAUAUAAAUAGGAAGGAAGGCCACCUCGUCUCCCUCUCCUACCCUACCCCCCGGGCGUACUCAACCUCACGGAAGCUGCCCCGGUACGCCCCGCAACCAUAAACGCGACGCCCAGAGAAGAUGUGAGCGCGUUAAUGCCUAGCCUCGUACGCUACGAGCAUCCACAUAUCUACCAAUCCGCACACCCGGACCUUUCCCGGCCUCGGCCGUCUCACUUCAUCCCAUCCACCUGCAGCUAGCAGCGGCCUGCCGCGCGCGCUGUGGAUCAUAAGCAAGCUUCCAUGGAGCCGCCACCUUCUCCGCUGGGCGCCGGCGCCUGCGCUGUCUGCUGCAUGUGCGGCGACCGCGGCCUGCCGCACGAGCUGCUCCGCUGCAAGCUCUGCCGCGUCCGCCUGCAGCACAGGUGCGUGCCGGCGUGUGUGCCUUGCGCGAUCGCUCCAGCUCUCCUUCUCCUAUCGAUCGAUCCAUCUGACCUGGGCGUGUGUUUGUUAUGUGUGUAGAUACUGCAGCGAUCUGUACCCGAGGGCCACGGCGUACAGGAGGUGCAACUGGUGCCUGAGGGAGCCCGCAGAAGCCCACGCCCAAGCGCACGCUCAAGCUCAACCGGUGGCUAGCAAGAAGGCGGAGAAACGGAAGAUGGUGCAAUCAACGGAGACGUCCACCUCCGACGAGGAGGCGCGGCGGCAGCACGAGGCCGGAUGCGCCACUGCUACGAGGUCCAGGAGAUCGGCCGCGGAGGUUGGUCAGCCGGUCAAGAAGCCCAAGGUCGACGAGAGGCCACCGCUGCCCCCGUCGCCGGGCACGGCGGCGAAGCGGAACAGCGGCGACAAGAAGCCUAAGGUCGACGAGUGGCCAGCGCUGCCCCCGUCGCCCGGCACGGCGGCGAAGGGGAACAGCGGUGACAAGAAGCCCAAGGUCGACGACAGGCAAGCGCUGCUGCCUCCGUCGCCGGGCACGGCGGCGAAGGGGAACAGCGGUGACAAGAAGCCCAAAGUCGACGACAGGCAAGCGCUGCUGCCUCCGUCGCCGGGCACGGCGGCGAAGGGGAACAGCGGUGACAAGAAGCCCAAAGUCGACGAGAGGCCACCGCUGCCUCCGUCGCCGGGCACGAAGGCGAAGGGGAACAGCGGCGACAAGAAACCUAAGGUCGACGAGUGGCCGGCGCUGCCCCCGUCGCCGGGCACGGCGGCGAAGGGAAACAGCGGCGACAAGAAGCCGAUGCAGGCGGGGAAGCUGGCGCGGCAGGGUAGGGUCAAGGUGAGGCGGUACAAGCUCCUGGCAGAGGUGAUUAGCUGCUAGCUAGGAUCACGGAAUCAAAAGGGGAAGUAGCUAGCCACCUUCGACAUUUGGUGUCGAUGUAUGUAAAUACCGUUUACCCGUCGUGUACGGGUUUUCUCUCUCUUUUUUGGGAGAGAGUCGACUACCAUACUAGUGCUGUACACAUCUUAAGCCGUCAGUUUUAUACACCAGUUGACGUGCACAGAGGGGUCGGUUUGACUUUAUGCCGGGGCGGCGAUGAGCUGGUGCGACUGCUUUAGUCUGCAUAUUGCAUCCGAUUGCCCCGUGAAGCAUAGAUUGGAGGUGGAAGUGAGCGGUGGCAUGUCGGAGCGAUGACAUCCAGAGAUGAGUCAGUGCAACAGUCAUGGUCUAUGAACGGUUACCCGUCGCAACAUAGAUUGUAAGUGGUUAGGCUGUGCGACACCGUAACUUGAGAGUGAGUGGUGGUAUGUCGGAACGGCGGCCCUGAAAGGUGAGGUCGGUCAGCCCGUCAAGAAGCCAAGGUCGACAAGAAGCCAGUGUUGCCCCUGUCGCUGGGGAUGGCAGCGAAGGGGAACAGCAACGACAUGAAGCUCUUGGCAGAGGUAAGAACAAAAGGAGAAGUAGCUAGCCACCAUCGACAUUGGUGUCACCUGUCUAUACAUGUUUUCCCUCCUCUUUGUUUUUGAGAGAGAGAGAGAGUCGACUAGGUGCUAGUGAUGUACAAAUCUAAGAGUUUCCAGUAAAUUAAUUCCUUUUUACCUUAUAUACACCAUGGGUUUAUGUGACAGUAUUGUUAGCGAGCUUGUCGGCUUAGCGUUCCAAAGAGAGAUCUGAUUUUACAUUGGAGCAGCGGCAGAAUAUCGUAGCCUACGGACCAUUGCCCCAUGAAGCAUAGGUUGUAGGUGGUAGCGAGUGGUGGUAUGUCAAUGGUGAACCUGGAAGGUGGUGUUGGUGGACCAUGCCAAUGGACGACUGAGGGGUCGGAAAUCAAGGUGGUGGCCUUGAGAGUUUGACAACGUUGUGGUUGUGUGAGCGAGGUAGCGUGUACUGCUGGUCAUUGGUGUAUCAAGUGUCACAUUGCGCACAAAUCCUCUAUAGCUUGUGGAGUGCAUGCGUCUUAUCUCCGUGAGAGCAUACCUAGUUUGCUCCUUCAAUAGCAGUCAUGACUUCUUCUAUCCCGACAGUGGUGCGAGACCUUCAAUGGAGUAGGUUUCCGGUUGGUUCGUGUCUGCUUGGUUGGAGCAUUUUGGUUGUGUAUAUUGCAUCAGCGAAAUGUGUGAGUUUAGCUCUCAUUGGAUGUUUGAGGCUUUUAGUGGGUUGGCAAUGCAUGUACUAGUUUUUACCCGUUUUCCUUAUUUUAACUAGAUUAUAAUCCCUUCUUAAUUACUAAAAAGGCAAAUCUUUGCAUUGGUACAAAAAAUGUAAUGGAGGCAUGAAAUAUUAUCGUAUGGGUGUAUUCACCGCUCAUUGAGAUCCCUCGCUCAUGAAAUUACACGUCAACUAUUCAGGGCUCACUUAAACCCUAUUACUUCAGAGCACUUUACCCUGAUUUUGGCUCCUUUCGACGAUGUAGAUGAUGCCACCUUCUUCAUCGUCAAGCUCACCUUGAGGGUUGUUUUGAUGAUAUAGGUGUUCACCUCUGCCUCCUCCACUAUAUUGUUAGUGAUGUUCUCAUCAUUAAGCCUUUGAAGCCUUAUGUCCAUGAUCUAUUGUCGGAUGGUAGGUGCGACAUAUGCCAACGGGUGGCUUAUCGUUGUGGGAGCCAGUAAAACAUCGCCGGUGCCUGGAAAUGGGAUGAGGCGAAGACAUGCACGCCGGCGUAUCUUACCCAGCUUCGGGGCUCUCCGUGGAGAUAACACCCCUACUGCUGCUCUGCGGGGUCUCCGCAUGAUCACUAGAUGAACAAGUAGCUACACGAUGCUCCUUGAGCUGUUUGGCGAGAGGAGGAAGAAGGGCUCUGCUUGCUCUCUUCUCCUCCCUACGUGGUGUCUAAAACUAGCAGGGAUCCAUCCUUUGCAUGGGUGUCCCGGGGGGUUUAUAUAGGCCUACACCCCGGGGGUACAAUGGUAAUCCGGCUGGGCGCGGGGCCCAGCCGUCUGUGUCUUCGCUCUCCGGCUUCUGCACCGGCUACCGGCUCCUUGGUCGACAGGCAGGCCCCACUGUCCAGGGCCUUGUCGGUGGCUGGUCACUGUUGCUCAAUCUUGGUGACGAGGGCUUCGCCGAGGUAAGCGUGGCUACAGUGCUGCCGUCCGGCGGGUGACCACUGUAGCCUCACCGCGUCUUGUCUCCUUAAUGGGGCGCCUCCUUCGAGGGAGUGGCAAGCCGGCUGGAGAGAGCCGGCUCCGUCUUGGGCCGACUGGGGGAGGCCAGGCCGCCUUCGGGUGUCUCUCUAUUCGAAGGGGCCCACCGCCUGUGGGCCGUACUGGUAGCCCGUCGUGGAUGACGUCAGGGUCAACGUGGCAACAGUGCUGCGCCGGAUGGGUCAUGGCCACCCGUACGGCGCACUGUACCAGGCGCGCUCCGGGAUUCGGGGGUGGCAGGCUUCACUAUAGACACGCCCCGUCACAUCGCCGUUAGGUGGAUGCAGACUUCGCGGGUACGGUCUUGACCGCUUUAUGGGAGCCGGCUCCUUGGAGCCGGCCUUCUCGCAGCCGGCUCCUCGGAGCCGGCCCUCCCACGGCUUUCUUCAUGAGGGCUGAAGUCGGGCCGCCUUCCAAUAGCCGGCCUGGGAGACAGCCGACUAGGGGAAGGCGGCCCCAUGUCUUGGUUUCUUGAGAGCCGGAUCGGCUCGUAAUUUUUUCAGAAAGGCCAGGGGGAGCCGGCUAGGCUACCCGUGGUCACUUACUCCGACAGUAGUCCCCGAAGCUGAUAAAGGGACGAGAAGCUUGGUCAGCUUCCUAUCCUGAGGGGCCGGCUUUGCUUGUGCGCGCCGACUUCGGAGAGCUCCGUUUCUCGUAGGCGGGAACGCGGUCGACCUGCGAGCUGUCCGCAGGCCAUCCCGCGGGCCACGUGGCAAGGAGAUCCUACCAGUGCACGCGCGCGACGGGACGCCGCCGCAGGCCCGGGCCCGCCACUACUAGGCCUCGGCCCGAGCGUGGAUCUUCUGCAGCCCACAUGGACCGCUCGCCUUCUCACGGCGGUUUUAUUCUGCCAUCAAGGCGUAAUAAUCACGGGACAUGGGGGAGUGGGCACAGUUGAUCCCCACGUUCCCCCACGCCGCGCCUCCUCGGCUCCGUUGCGUGGUCUAUAAGUAGGAGGAGGAGGGGGAGCGGCAGAGGCUCGCGCGCUCUCCCUCACUCCGCCCUUUCUCGUCUUCCUUCUUCUCCUCCCCGCCGCCGCAGUAACUCUUUGCCGCGCCGCUCCGCCGCCGCAUCAUCUUGCUUCUCACCGCGCUGCCCCAUGGCGCUGUCAUGAUCGUGGGAUGGCUCCAACGUCCAUGAGGACCACGUCGCGUUCCUCCGCCAGACGCGAUGCCUGCCCGGCGAGGACUUCGUUCGGGUUCGUCUAGCGCCGGAGAAGGAGAUUUCGCCGGCACCGGAGAAGGGCGAGCGGGUGAUCUUCCGCUCGCACUGCCUGCGCGGCUUCGGCCUUCCGGCGAGCGGGUUCCUCCGAGCCUUCCUCGAAUUCUACAACCUCCAGCCGCAUCACCUCACGCCCAACGCGGUGAUGCUGCUGUCGGCCUUCGUCACGCCAUGCGAAGGCUUCCUUGGGGUCCUCCCCACGCUUGAGCUCUGGGCGGAAUUCUUCCAAAGCAAGCUCGGCACCGUCGUCGCGGGCGUGCCCGCCCCUUGCGGAGCCUUUAUUGCCAUGAGGCGGGCGAGCGAGAACAACCCGUUUCCGCCCAUCCCGCUGAUCCAGACGGUGAAGCUCUGGCAGAAGUCAUACUUUUACGUGAAGAAUGUCACGCGGCAAGGCGACUACGUCAACCUGCCGACUUAUGAAGCCGGCCCGCCGGCUGGGAGGCGACCUUCAUGGAGCUACCGGGCCAGGUCGUUGUCUCAGGCCGGGAACGCAGCCGUCUCCCGGCUUCGGGUGAUGAUCCAAUCGGAGGGCCUGACCGGAGCAUACUUGGUGGCCGCCUUCGUGGAGCGCCGGGUUCUUCCCCUCCAAAGCCGGCCUCACAUGGUUUGUCAGAUGAGCGGCCGCUUCGACCCAAGCUGGCUGAGCACCAGGGAGAUGCCUCAUGCGGAGGUCUCCUACAUGGUGAACUAUAUCUCCAAUUGCAAGCUCGCCGAGGACUGGCGAUACGGCAAGGAGCCGUAUUCCCGCGCCAACCCUCCGUCUGCCGUAAGUUCUUUCUUCUUUUCUUCCUUUUUGUAGCCGGCCUCAUGAUAGCCGACUCUUUGAUCAGUUGGUUUGCCUUUUGCAGAACCCUCUCCUCCCGCCGAUGACCGGGGCCGCAGGGGUAGAGCGCCAGCUCGUCCCUGACCGCACGGUGGACGACGCCGAUGACCCGGACUUGGGAGCGGCCGCCAUGGAAGACGCCAUCGUGGGGAAAAGCGACGAGACCGGAGGCGCGGGGCUCACGGCCGGCUUCGAGGACUGGUCGGAUGAUGCCGAGGUCGAAGUCGCCCCGCGCCGCCAGCCGGCGCCUGAUCAUCAAGGCGCGAGCUCGUCCGCCGCGCUGGCUGCUGGCGGCGGCGCCCAGAAGCGCCGGGCCGUGUCGAUCCUCUUCGGCAGCUGGCCGAAGAAGUCCAAGGCUUCCACAGCGGUGACCAAGCGAGAUGAGGCGGCCGCGAAGGCGGCCCGCUUCCGCAAGGCGGUGAAGCAGCCGCAGGCGAUCUCAGCGUGAGUCGUCGAAUGCUUGGAUACAUAUUUUUUGUUGUUCUUUUCGAUUGAAAACUCUUCUAAACCUUUCUUUGCUCGCCGGACAGGGCGCCACUUUCCCUUGAGCGGGGUCCGGGUGGCUCCGUAGUCGGGCCAACUGGAGGGUCUUCGGGCUCCCGCCGCGUGGAUCCCCGCGCCGACCUCAAGGAGGCCACGGAGCGGAACGCACGAGAGGUGCGGGAGGAGCGGGAGGCGGCGGAGCGAAGGGCCGCCCAGGCGAAGAAGGAGAGGGCCGAUGCAGCAGCCAAGGCCCGGGCGGAGGCGGCAGGUACGGAGAUGGAGGCGGAGGAUUCGCACAACUAGCCUCCGCUGCAAGCCAUUCCCCUCCGCGCCGUGGCCCCCAACAUUCCUGUGCCUCCGCUGGAGGAGGUCGACCAAGAACCGCCGGUCAUGGAGCGGAGGGAGGACUCCGUGAUCUUCGUGGAGGGGGCACCGCCGGCAGCGCCAACAGGAGCGGGCCAAGGCGGCCAGUCGGCUGCGGCGCUAGAGCAGCCGGCCGGGGGUGAGCCGGAAGCAGGAGCCGGCCUCGAGGUGCAGCCGGCAAUGCGCCGGCGCGCAAGGGGAGGCACUGCUGCACCGGAGCCGCACCGAGCUACGGGUGCCAGCCGGACGGCGGAGGCCUUGGAGACGGCCAGCACCGGCACGUCCUAGUGGACUCCCAGCAGCGGGACGAGCGAGCUGAAUGUGGCGGCCCAAGAGGUUCGGAACUGGCUUCAGGCCCAAGCCGCCUCGCUGCAGCAAUACACCCAGGAGUUCCUUGCGACACGGGCCGUCAUCCGAGUGAGUCUUCUAUCUUUGGUUGUUUUGUCCUCUUGAUUUUUUCCGUGGGGGCGCGUCAGCGCACCCACUGGGUGUAGUCCCCGAGAUUCGGGCCGACUGCUGAGCAGUCGGGUCGGAUCUUCCUUGACGACUACCUUAUUCUCGCCUCCUGUCUAAUCUUCCAGGAGUAUCAUAACCUCCGCGCUGCCACCUUCAACUCCCAGGCUCAGGAGCUGGGUCGGAGAACCAAAGACCUGAUCAGCAGCCGGAGUACGUACUUGGUUUCGUUCAUCUCCUGUGGGGGCGCGUCAGCGCACCCACUGGGUGUAGUCCCCGAGAUUCGGGCCCACUGCUGAACAGUCGGGUCGGAUCUUUCCUGACGACUUUACCUUACUGGUUUUUCUUUUGUCUUUCGUGCUCGCAGAAGUCAAUGCCGACUUAAGGGGGCAGCUCAGCGAGGCGCAGGACACCCUUCGUGCCAAGGAAACCGAGUACGACGCCUUGGUCCUGGAGCGUGACCGCCUGGCCAAGAAGCUGGCUGACCAGGAGGAGAGCCACAAAGCGGCUCUGAAGAAGGCGUAGGAUAACGAAGCCGCCCUGAAGGCCGAGUUCGAGACUGAAGCGGCGGGCUGGGCUGAGACCAGGCAAGCGCUGAAUGAAGGCUUUGGCCGUAUUGAGGAUUUGAUCGACGGUAAGCCGCCUUCCUCGCUCCUUGCCUGCCCCUUGCCGCCUGACUUGUGUUCUGACUUGAGCUGCUUUUUAUUCUCUGUGCAGACUACUUUCCUGGCUACUCCGUCUUCGCCGCCCAAACCAUCGAGGCCCAUCGCGAAGCGCGCCGGCAGGCGGGGGCUGAAGUCGCGCCGGACGCGAGUCGGUCGCUCGAAGAGCAACUCUUGGCGGUCCAAGCGCGGCUGCAGCCGGCUCAUCGUAUGCUCCGCCGCCUCCCGCGCGCCGGAGCGCAGGUGUUGGCCGCCCUCUGGCCAAGCGAGGCGAUUCCCCGCACCCCGAGUCGGACUGCCGACUGGCUGGAGGUUGCGGUUGGCCGCUUCGAGGCCUGGAAGGCGUCGGCGGCCUGGCUUGGAGCUGGACGGGCGCUGGAGUUCGUCCGAGCUUGCUAUUCGGGGCUGAACCUGGACCAGCUGCGCACCUGGCGGCUGGAGGCCGACGAAGAGCUAGCGGAGGUGCGGCUGGCUAUCGCUCAGCGCGCAUCGAUAAUCACCGAGUGUACUGACAUCAGCGUCUUCGCUCCCGAGAUUAAUGAUGACGGCGUUGCCCAGCCGGAGGAGUGGUUCGGGCUGGACCCGCCGGCGGGUGAAGACUCGGCAGAAGAGAUCGCCUCCAGCGACGAAGGCGAAGACGACGAAGGAGAGGAAAGCGAAGACGUCGAGCCGGCUGGUGGAACAGCCAACCAGCCUCAGCCUGACCGUGCCUCCAGCAACGAGGCGCGCGCAAGCGCGCCUUCUGCGGGAGGCAGUGAUCAUGCCGAGGUUCGCCAGCCGGCCACUCCUCCAGCCGGCACUGCCGUCUCCACCGACCUGCCCGCUCGUCAGUUGCUCCACCGGCUUAAUCUGUCGUCCUUGUUUUUCCUGCUUGUUGCCUUCUGAACAAUUUUAUUAAGCUUCCGCAGUUUCACCCACUGGGGGUGUAUCCAAACUAUGUUAAAUGCUAGCCUUUUGAAGGUCUUUUAUGUAAAUAUUAACUUGUGCAUGUUUGGUUUCCAUUCACGUAUGCUUUUUAUCCUUAGGUUGUUUCCUUUGUCGUCUUCCCCUUCUGGGAAGGCAAGUACUCGAGCUUUCUUAGAUUGGAGCGAGGUGAAUGGAAGCCGGCCGGCCGGCUACUCUGGUAGCCAGUCGGCGGUGGGAGAAAAAUCGGCUUUUGUUAUAUUAGUCCAUUAGUCCCUAGCCGUUUUUCGUGUGGGCACCCGUUCCUGCCCUUAACUCUUGCCAGCCGGACAGCCGGUUCUUCGAACUGCGACUUUUGGCAAGAGAAGGCUUGGGAGCCGGCACACUACUUGUCUGACUGCGGGUAGGAUUUCUAAUAUAACUCCAGGCGGCCAGUCCCCGGGCCGACUAGUCGAACCCGGUGCCGGACGGAAAAAAGUGAAUGCAAUGACAAGGCCAUAAGCAUGCUACUUUUCAUUUAUAGACAAAAGAUGGCAGUCCCCGAGCUCUCCUCGGGGGCCCUAUUGUCUCGUACUUAGUACAAAAGUUAGCGUGAUGCAUACUGCAUUUCAGCUGUAAAACCUUCGGAGGAGGUUGGCGUUCCAUGGUCAUUCCGACUCCUUGCUGGAGUCGUCUCUCUUUUGUGCCUUCAACUUCUGCGCGUCGAUCAGGUAGUAUGAGUCGUUGCCUAAGGCUCUGCUGAUGAUGAAGGGGCCCUCCCAAGGGGCCGAGAGCUUGUGUUGGCCGGUUGUUCGCUGGAUCAGCCGGAGCACAAGAUCGCCCUCUUGGAAGGAUCUUGGCCUGACCUUCCGGCUGUAGUAGCGGCGCAGGCCCUGCUGAUAGAUGGCGGACUGGCUGAGGGCUAACAGCCGGCUUUCUUCCAGCAGGUCGACGCCGUCUUCUCGUGCUUCCUUGGCCUCCGCUUCCGUGUACAUGGUUACUCGAGGCGAGUCGAACUCGAUGUCAGUUGGGAUGACCGCCUCGGCACCAUACACGAGGAAGAAAGGGGUGAAGCCGGUUGACUUGUUUGGUGUAGUGCGCAGACUCCAGAGGACAGCCGGCAGCUCGUCGAGCCAACAACUGGCUGAACGCUUCAGUGGUACGAUCAGUCGGGGCUUGAUGCCGGAAAGGAUGAGGCCGUUGGCUCGCUCGACCUGGCCGUUUGACUGCGGGUGGGCGACGGAUGCUAGAUCCAACCGGAUGCCUUGCGUCGCGCAGAAACGUGCCAAGGCUCCCUUGGCGAAAUUUGUGCCAUUGUCAGUGAUGAUGCUGUGUGGCACGCCGUACCGAGUUGUUAUAUCUGCGAUAAAUGUGAUGGCAGUCGGCCCAUUCAGCUUCUUGAUCGGCUUUGCUUCAAUCCAUUUGGUGAAUUUGUCCAUGGCGACAAGCAGAUGUGUCAUGCCGCCGCGCGCUGUCUUGAAUGAGCCCACCAUGUCCAGUCCCCAAACGGCGAAGGGCCAAGUGAGGGGAAUGGUCUUGAGUGCUGAAGCCGGCAUGUGUUGCUUGGAGCUGAAGAGUUGGCACCCUUUGCAAUGUUUAACUAACUCCUUGGCGUCAUCCAAAGCAGUCGGCCAAAAGAAACCAUGGCGGAAGGCUUUGGCGACGAGUGAUCUUGAGGCCGCAUGGUGGCCGCAUUCUCCUUGGUGGAUGUCUCUGAGGAUUGCAAUGCCCUUCUCUUGCUCGACGCAUCGCUGGAGGACUCCAGUGACACUGCGCUUGACGAGUUCUCUGUUGACGAUUGUGUAUGCUCCGGCUCGGCAUUGGACUUGUCUUGCCUCUACUUCGUCAGCCGGCAGAUCUUGGUUUAUUAGGAAGUUGAGGAUGGAUUGAGCCCAUGACGGAGCUGCAACUUCUUCUAAUGCCAAAACGGCUACUGCGACCAGGGCGGGCGGGCUGGGCGGUGAAAUGCUGGAGUCGGCCGCCGCCUGUUGUGUUUGUGUAGUCUCCGGGCCGACUACCGCAGUCCCUGAGCCAGGUGAGGCAGUCCCCGGGUCGGGCGUAACUACGGAAGUCUCCGAGCCGCCUGCUGAUACCCCCUGGCCGACUAUCGAAGUCCCCGGGCCACCUGCUUGGUUCUUCGAGCCGGACCCAGCCGCGUCGGGGUCAGGCGGCACGAAGAUGGAAUCGGACUCUGGAGACGGCUUGAUAGACGGCUUGAGGAGGCGUCGUAGAGAGACGCCGGUUGGUAUUGCUUGCCGAGUGGAGCCUAUUCGAGCCAGAGCAUCAGCUGGCUCGUUGUCGGCUCGCGGUACGUGGAGGAACUCGCAUCCUUCAAAAUACCCACUGAUCUGCUGAACGAGGAAGCGUUAGCUUGACAUAUUUGCGUCCUUGGCGUCCCAUUCGCCGGAUGAUUGCUGGACCACCAAGUCUGAGUCACCAUAACAUAGGAUCCGGCAAAUGUCGAGCUCUUUGGCAAGCCGGAGCCCGUGUAUGAGCACCUCGUACUCGGCUACAUUGUUGGAGGCGGCAAAGUGGAUUUGCAGCGUGUAUCUGAGCUUGUCACCUUUGGGAGAGGUGAGGACGAUGCCGGCUCCCAAGCCGGUGCGCAUUUUGGACCCAUCGAAGUGCAUGCGCCAAUGAGUGGAGUCGGGAGCCGACGACAGGUACUGGGUCUCGGCCCAGUCGACGAGGAAGUCGGCCAAUACUUGGGACUUGAUGGCGGUGCAAGGCUGGUAGAAGAUCGUAUAGGGGGCCAGCUCGAUGGCCCAUUUCGCCACCCGGACGGAUGCAUCCCGACUGCCUAUGAUCUCGGCCAGCGGGGCGGUGCAUACAACCGUGAUGGGAUGCUCUUGGAAGAAGGGCUUCAGCUUCUUAGCGGCGAAGUACACGCCGUAGCACAUCUUCUGGUAGUGCGGGUAGUUCUGCUUCGAGGUAGACAGCACCUCGCUCAAAUAGUACACCGGCCUCUAGACCGGCUGGGCUCGGCCUUCUUCUGGGCGUUGGACUACGAUGACGGUGCUGACCACCCGGCUGGUUGCGGCAAUGUAGAGGAGCAUGGGCUCUUUCUCGGUCGGCGCCGCCAGGACUGGCGGUGUGGCUAGCAUCUUCUUCAGCUCGUGGAAAGCUUGGUCAGCUUGGUCGUUCCACUCGAAGUGAGUGGUCUUCUUCAUGAGGCGGUAGAGGGGGAGAGCUUUCUCUCCGAGCCGGCUGAUGAAGCGGUUUAGGGAGGCCAAGCACCCGGUGAACUUCUGGAUGUCUUGAAGCUUGGUGGGAAUCGCCAUUCUCUCAAUGGCCUUGAUCUUUACUGGGUUGCAUUCGAUGCCGCGUUCGGAGACCAGGAAGCCUAGGAGCUGGCCGGCUGGUACUCCGAACACGCAUUUCUCGGGGUUAAGCUUGAGGCCCCGCUUGGAUUCGGUGUAAACUUAUACACCCGGAUUUAAUCUACAAGUGUAUUUUACCGGUCGCAGUGUUAUUUCCGCCUAGAUUGAAAACGACGGCUCGAGGUCUGUUUUGGUUACAAGUGUAUUUAGGAGCAAACCGACGAUCCAAGCGGGGCCUGAUUUGGAACCGGCGUAGGUUCUCAAAUGUUUCCUUGAGGUCUUCCAGCAAGGUACCACGCUUCUCCGUCUUCACCACAAUGUCGUCUACGUAGACGUGGGCAUUUCUACCGAGUUGCUUGAGGAGGCACUUCUGCAUGCAACGCUGAAAAGUGGCACCGGCAUUUCUCAAGCCGAAUGUCAUAGUCAGGUAGCAGAAGGCUCCGAAUGGCGUGAUGAAGGCGGUCUUCAGGCGGUCUGCCGGAUCUAACUUUAUCUGGUGAUACCCUGAGUAAGCAUCCAAGAAACUCAACAGCUCGCAUCCGGCCGUGGAGUCUAUCACUUGGUCAAUCCUUGGCAGAGCAAAGGGAUCUUUGGGGCAGGCCUUGUUGAGGCUCGUGUAGUCUAUACACAUGCGCCACUUGUUGUUCUUCUUUAGCAUGAGGACCGGGUUGGCGAGCCACUCUGGAAAGAAAACUUCCAUAACGAAGCCGGCUGCCAGAAGUCGGGCUAUCUCCUCUCCCACAAUCAUGCGUUUCUCCUCUGACAGUCGGCGGAGGGGUUGUUUGACUGGCUUUGCGUCUUCUCGGACGUGUAAUUUGUGCUCGGCGAAUUCCUUCGGAACGCCCGGCAUGUCCUUGGGGGACCAUGCAAAGAUGUCCCGAUUCUCACGGGGGAAAUCGGCGAGCUCGCCUUCCUAUUUGCUGUUCAGGUUUGCCCCAAUGACGGCAAACCUCUCUGGGUGCUCGGGGUCAAGAGGUAUCUUCUUCGUCUCCUUGGCCGGCUGGAAAGAUCCUUGAGCAUCAUGCUCCUUGGGAUCGGGGGACAAGGCCGACUGCUUGCCGGCUAUGGCUGCGACUCGGUCCAACAUCUUCUUUUCUUCGGCAAUCACAAGGGACUCGGCCAGCCGGCUGCUGGCUGCUGCGCACUCAGAGGACUUCUUGUAAUCGCCGGCUACGGUGAUGACGCCUUUGGUGCUUGGUAUCUUCAUCUUGAGGUAUGCAUAGUGGGGAACCGCCAUGAAUUUGGCCAAGGCAGGUCGGCCAAGCAAUGCAUGGUAAGGGCUCUCCAGGUCCACCACUUCAAACCAGAUCGCUUCCCGGCGGAAAUGCUCCUUGUCCCCCAAAAGUACAUCAAUCUUGAUCUCGCCAAUGGGGGCGCAGGACAGCCGGGUACGAUGCCAUGGAACAUUGUCCGAGUAGGCAUGAGUUGCCUCGUCUUGACGUUCAGCUUCUCCAGGGUGUCGCGGUACAAGAUGUUGAUGUUGUUCCCGUCGUCUAUAAACACACGGGAGAAGCGGGCGGCGCGUCUGUCCGUUGCAAGGAUGGCAUCCAGAACCAACGCAUAAGAGCCGGGAGACGGCAUCACCUCUGGGUGGUCGGCCCGGCUCCAGCUAAUAGGUUUUUUUACCAGUGCAUGUCAACCAUGCUGACUUCCUGGUUCUCUCGGCGUUUGCUGCGCCGGUCUUCGGGCUGGCUUGUAAAGACGAUAUAGGCGGCAUGCUCGUCGGGGAACUCAUCAUGCACGGCUCCGACUGCGGGCUGAGCGGCCGGCGGCGGCGGAAACGGAGGCGGCGGGCCGGCAGGCGGAGGCGGCGCGAGCCCUUCGCCUUUGGAGAUUCGGGUGAGCCAAUGGCACUUCCGGGUUGUGUGGUUGGACGGCUUCGCGCCGCUGUGGAACUUGCACGGGGCGUCGAGAGUUUGCUCGUAGGAGAAGGCCGGCUGCCAAGCCGGCCUGCCGCCCUUGGGUUUCUUGGGCGCGGGCCGCCCUUCGGGCGGCACGUCUUCGACUGUGGCCACCUGUCGACUGGCGGGAGGCGGCGCGGGGCCCUUGCGCUUGUGGUCGUUCGAGUGUGGGCGUCGGCCGGAAUCCCCAGCCGGCGUCUUGGCCGCCGGGUUGAGUACUUUUCCGGACGCGUCUACCCGGAUCUCGGUCUUCAUUGAGGAGUCGGCGGUGGCGUACUUGUCCACUAUGUCCAGAAGCUCGUCGAGGGUAGUCGGCUCGUCGCAGAGAAGCUUGUGCUUGAGGAGGGUGCCUUCUCGGCACCCGGCUGUGAAGUAUUCUAUGGCUUGCACCUCAUGCACCCCUUCGCAAGAGUUGCGGAGCUCGGCCCAACGCAUGAGGUAAUCGCGAGUUGACUCGGCGGGGCCUUGUACGCACAAGGAGAGCUGUCUGGGCUUGGGAGCCCGCUUGUAGGUACUGGUGAAAUUGCGGACGAAAGCUUCUGUGAAAUCUAGCCAGUUGUUGAUGCUGUGUGGUUUGAGGCUGUUGAGCCAGGUCCGCGUCGUGCCUUGCAGCAUGAGGGGCACGUACUUCACGGCAACGCGCCGGUUGCCGUUGGCUAUGCUAACCGCCAUGGAGUAGUCGAUCAACCAAUCUUCCGGCUUCACGGAGCCGUUGUAGUUGGGCGUGUCUCUUGGGAGCAAGAACCCUUUGGGGAAGGGCUCGUCGUGGAUGCGGGGGCCGAAGCAAGGCGGACCGACAUCGUCUUCUUCUUCCAGUGCCAGGGAUCGCGCCAGGCGGUCGAUCCGAUGGCGGGCGUCGUUUUCGCCGACUCCUUCACGGCGACCUAGUCGGCCGCUGAGAGUCGGAUGCGCCACAGGCGGAGGGGUGGGAUAUCUCUCUCCACGGGGCCGAGGCGGAGGCGGGUUGCCCCGCCACUCCACGGCCCGAGGAUGGCCUUCUGCGUCUCGCUCGAUGGAGAUCCGGGUUUGGCUUCGGCUGGCAGCCGGCUCUUUCUCGCACCGCGCACGGUCUCUACUCGCAGUCGGCGUCCGGGAAGUCGCGCCGUGAUCUCGGCGCGGGGGAGGGCUUUCCGCGUGGGCGUCGGCUUCAUGCCGCUGCGCGGCUGCAUCGAUCAGCUGCUGGAUGCGUCGGGUCAUGUGGGGGAGUUCUUCGGCCCCCAGUCCGUCUAGCUCGUCUACGGCCGCCUGGGCGGCGUGCAGGUUCUCGAGUGGAGUGGCGUAGACUGGGCGGUCGACUCCUAACGUGUCGGCAACGACAGCGCCGCGCUGUCUGACAACGCUGACCCGGCUGGGCCUGCUUGGGGGCGGCGUGCCAAAGGCGGCGCGGUCGGCCUCGCGUCAGUGGGCCUCAGCGAGGCGUCUCAUGGAAACCAACUUCCGGCCCUCCGCGAGGAGGGCGAGGCGGCGAGCCUCCAGUGCUUCAGCGUCGGCGUCGGCCGGGAGGGGGAUGGACAAGUCGUGGACCGCCGCGUGCGGGGCGUCGUGGGCGCUUUCGUCAGCAGCGCCGUCGUGGGCGAUGACCAUCACCUCGAUGGUGACAGCGCCGCAACCAUCGGCUCGGGGAAGCGGGUCGUUGUAGAUCGUGACGUUGGUGGGGAAGGUGUCGAAUGAGGCCGUGUCGAAGUCGACAGGCAUCGGAUCGGUGGAGCCAACCGACUCCAAGUCCACUGCAGGCUCGCUGGAGACAUGGAGCCGGCCGAGGAGGUUGACGAGGUGGUCGGUGCCCGCGUCGGAGGCGGGCUCGUCGAAGAUGAGGGUCUUGUCGAGGAGAUCAGCGAGGCUGCUCGCUGCGCAGGCGUUGGUGACGCCUUGCAGCGCGUCGUGGCAAGAGUCAUCGGGCGUGUCGGGCUGGCUACGCUCGCGGGGGAGGAAGAAGGUUCCCGUCCAGAACAGGUCUCCGGACGACGGUGCACCUGGCCCCACGGUGGGCGCCAAAUGUCGGGUGGUAGGUGCGACAUAUGCCAACGGGUGGCUUAUCGUUGUGGGAGCCAGUAAAACAUCGCCGGUGCCUGGAAACGGGAUGAGGCGAAGACAUGCACACCGGCGAAUCUUACCCAGCUUCGGGGUUCUCCGUGGAGAUAACACCCCUACUACUGCUCUGCGGGGUCUCCGCAUGAUCACUAGAUGAACAAGUAGCUACACGAUGCUCCUUGAGCUGUUUGGCGAGAGGAGGAAGAAGGGCUCUGCUUGCUCUCUUCUCCUCCCUACGUGGUGUCUAAAACUAGCAGGGAUCCAUCCUUUGCAUGGGUGUCCCGGAGGGUUUAUAUAGGCCUACCCCCCGGGGGUACAAUGGUAAUCCGGCUGGGCGCGGGGCCCAGCCGUCUGUGUCUUCGCUCUCCGGCUUCUGCGCCGGCUGCUGGGGCCCGCCGGCUGGUGGGUCCCGCCGGCUACCGGCUCCUUGGUCGACAGGCAGGCCCCACUGUCCAGGGCCUUGUCGGUGGCUGGUCACUGUUGCUCAAUCUUGGUGACGAGGGCUUCGCCGAGGUAAGCGUGGCUACAGUGCUGCCGUCCGGCGGGUGACCACUAUAGCCUCACCGCGUCUUGUCUCCUUAAUGGGGCGCCUCCUUCGAGGGAGUGGCAAGCUGGCGGGAGAGAGCCGGCUCCGUCUUGGGCCGACUGGGGGAGGCCAGGCCGCCUUCGGGUGUGCGCCGGAUGGGUCAUGGCCACCCGUACGGCGCACUGUGCCAGGCGCGCUCCGGGAUUCGGGGGUGGCAGGCUUCACUGUAGACACGCCCCGUCACAUCGCCGUUAGGUGGAUGCAGACUUCACGGGUACGGUCUUGACCGCUUUAUGGGAGCCGGCUCCUUGGAGUCGGCCUUCUCGCAGCCGGCUCCUCGGAGCCGGCCCUCCCGCGGAUUUCUUCAUGAGGGCUGAAGUCGGGCCGCCUUCCAAUAGCCGGCCUGGGAGACAGCCGGCCAGGGAAAGGCGGCCCCAUGUCUUAGUUUCUUGAGAGCCGAAUCGGCUCGUAAUUUUUUCAGAAAGGUCAGGGGGAGCCGGUUAGGCUACCCAUGAUCACUUACUCCGACAUCUAUGAUUUAUUUUUCUGUGCCAAGCGAUGAGGACAUGAGANNNNNNNNNNNNNNNNNNNNNNNNNNNNNNNNNNNNNNNNNNNNNNNNNNNNNNNNNNNNNNNNNNNNNNNNNNNNNNNNNNNNNNNNNNNNNNNNNNNNNNNNNNNNNNNNNNNNNNNNNNNNNNNNNNNNNNNNNNNNNNNNNNNNNNNNNNNNNNNNNNNNNNNNNNNNNNNNNNNNNNNNNNNNNNNNNNNNNNNNNNNNNNNNNNNNNNNNNNNNNNNNNNNNNNNNNNNNNNNNNNNNNNNNNNNNNNNNNNNNNNNNNNNNNNNNNNNNNNNNNNNNNNNNNNNNNNNNNNNNNNNNNNNNNNNNNNNNNNNNNNNNNNNNNNNNNNNNAUGUCUGACAUGCAACUUAACAUAGAUGGGCGGACGCUCUUCCUAGGUAUGGGGUCAAACUCGGAUGUUUUAGUUUUUAUGCACAACAUAUAUCCAGUUUGAACUUUAGCAUCUAUAUUCAUUCUCCAAAACUAUUGAAGGGUGAUACUAGUUAGACGAUCAAAUUUUGUGCCACACUUGAGGCGGCAUUGCUACACUUUUAUGAAACCGAUCUUGUCACAACCGUGGCCACACACCAAACAACGGUUAACUCGGUUAAACUUAUCUAAUUUGCGAUACGAUAUAGUGCGGCAAACUUAGUAUACCAACUAAACACGCCCUAAUAUGCGAAAACUGGCGGCAGCGGAAGCGUGAGACCGGAGUGACCGAUCUGAGGUUGCACUGGACUUGCAACCCGAUUUGGAUGAGCUUAUUCUUUUCCAUGUGUACGCAUGGGCAGGGCUGCUUUAAUUUGCCUUGUAGCGAAUCUGUCAAGAAGUUGGACAUUAGCACCAUAUCAGAAGUUCAACACCAGGUGUCACAUCGUAUCAGUCCUUGAAGUAUUCCAUCAAACGGGCAUGGGGGAAGCCACGCAAAAGAGAGAAAAAGAAAGACGGCAUGGGGGGAGGAUUCGAUGGAUGCCGUGUUGAGGCAUGAAAGCCGACGUGGUUGGCCGCGGGUUGCCAUUCGUCAGGGCCGAGGUGCAGCAUGACAGGAUGAUGCAUCCAUCCGCGACGGAUCAAGCAGCAAGCUAGAGAUCGAUGCCCGUGCGACCCGGCGGAGAGGCGCACGUAGUAGUAGGCCUACUUACGUACAUCUAGAUACAUUCUUUUUUUAUUCGUUUUGAUGACAAGUAUUUCCGGACGGAAGAAGUAGGUUGGUGGUACUAUAUCGGUAUAUAGUUGUCCUGGUGUCCCACGCGACAAAAGGAACGCGCUGGCGCCGCAGUGCAGCGGACCCGUUCGGUUGGGCCAGAUGAGGUGAUCCACCGUGCGCUUCUCCGAUGUUUCCCGCCGAUCAUUUCGAUCGGGAAAAUCAUUCCGUUUCCGCGUCGGUCGCGAGAACAGGGCGAUCGCGAGAUGAUCUAUGAUCGAUCAAUUUAUGGAGCAGUGCGAAGGUGAGGUGUGUGCGGCUAGGUGGCGUCCGGGUCACGCCCCGAUCGGUUUCGGACGCCGAGAGAAUGACCUGUCGAUCGGUCCUGGUCUCCGCAGGACGUGCACGUACAGGUCCGAAGGUCCCAGCAGGCUAAUGCAAACAAACCUAUGACGCGUCCAGUUAGACCAUUGUGAUCGUACGGAAGAUGGACGGCCAACUACUACCUCCGUUCCGAAUUACUUGCGCAAGUAUGGAUGUAUCUAAAUGUAUUUUAGUUCUAAAUACAUCCAUUUUCGCGACGAGUAAUUUGAAACGGAGGGGGUACCAAUUAGGGAGACGCGCGCGUUGAUUCGUGAGUGGAUGCAUCCUAGUAGGAGUACACGACGUGAGAAGCUUUGGUUGCUUGCGGUUAUAUGUGUGCAGAAGUUGAGCAUGUUGUGGCGGAGCUUCAACAUACUCCCUAUGUAAACUAAUAUCAGAGCGUUUAUAUCAUUAAAGUAGUGAUCUAAACGUUUUUAUAUUAGUUUACAGAGGGAGUACGAGAUUUGUAGAGGGACCUAAACAAGUUUUGAAUAGAAAUUGAGAAUGCUGAUCUUGAUAGAGUAUAAUGCCAAAUUCAGCCAAGAAUAGUCUAAAUAGUCUGACCCUAACUAAACUCGGCCACCGUGAGCACGAGUCAGAAUUGUAAUUCCUGCAAAAGUCAUCGAACCGUGAUCCCAGCUUGACAAGAUAUAGCUUCCCUAAAAUAUGAAAAGAACUUGCGAAGAUAGCAAGAUGGAUCAUGUCGCCCAAGUUUGUACACUAGUUUGGACGAGGCCGAUAUGGGCCGGUUGUUGGCUAGGAUGAUGGAUGGAGUGGGAGUGUAGGUCGCGAACAGUCGAAUGGGAUUUAGUUCCCUGCAAAAAAUAUAAGACGGGCUUUCUCAGGAAACAGAAGAAAUUUAUAAUGGUGAAAGUGCUAUAGAGAUCAAAUGCACCCGCCAUGGACAAUACAAAAAAAAGAAGUAAAACAACAACAAGAUUUGAUUUUUUUGGCAUCAAACAUUGUUGAAUCUUCGACAAUCGUGGAAAUUUCUGUGACGAAAAAAACAUUCAUAAUGCCCUUGAAAAAUGAAAUAAAACAAGUGUUACAAAAUGCUUUCAAAAGGAGUCUUUUUGGAGCAUUGAUGUUGAUUGUUUUUUCUUCACGAAAAUUUGCACGCAUGUACAACAUUCAGCAAUUUCUAUUGCCAAACAAUACCAGGUUGCUUGAAUUUAUUUACUGUUUUCUAUUUUACUAUUCACAAUUGUGCUGGAUUAGAAACUCCAUCUCUAGUAUAAUGGGCAUAAGGCUGCAGGCAACAGAAGCUCUUUCUGUCGCUGUUAGUUCUGGUGUGGACCUACUUCAUGUUCAGUCGAGGAAAAAAAUCUGAUGUGAGCACAUGCUCGUAAGUAAUAACACUCAUAUACGUGUAUGUUCUAAAAAAACCAGCUAUCUUUUUUAUUUGAAAAAUUCAUUAUAUCAAAAGAUUUUCAUGGAUGUUUUUUUGCAAAAUUAGAACCAUGGAUUAGAUUAAAAAUGCAAAUUUUAAAAAUGUUGACAUAUUUUUUAAAUGUCUGAAAUUGAAAUAAAGCAGCCCUGGAAGCUCCAAAUUUAGGGAGCUUAGUUUCAGAGUAAAAAUAAAGUUAACACAUUUAAAAAUGUUCACAAAUGUUAAAAAUAUUCUCGAAUGUAACACUCUUAUAGAAGGCUCCCCUAGCAGCCCCCACAGCUCCUGAUGCACAUCUCCAAAUCUAGGGAGCUUGGUAUUUAAAUAGACUUACGAUGCAAAAAAUAGAUGGUGCAAAAGUUUAAAAAAGUGUUUAUAAAAAUUUAAAAAUGUUUGUACCAUUUUUAAAAAUGGUCAUGCCAUUUGAAAAAUGUUCGCGUGUUUGAAACUGUUCAUGGAAUUUUUAGGAAAUGUCCAUGAAAUGUAAAAGUUUUGUUCGUUUAACUUCUGAUGAAAAAAUGUUCAUGACAUAUAAAAUGAACAUCGUAUAUUUAAAAAAAUAUUCUAAAUAUAUUUAAAAAAAUUUCAUUGUGUACUAAAAACUGAACUUAUAUUUUAAAAAUAUACAAACAUUUAAUUAGAAAAUGUUCAAAGACUAUUCAAAAAAUCCCAAGUGUAUUCAAGAAAUGUUCAACUUUUUUUACAAAUAAGUGUAUUCAAGAAAUGUUUAACUGUUAUUUAAGAAAAACUCUGGUGUAAUCAAGAAAUGUUCGUCAUGUAUUUAGAAAUUUACGAUUGUGUGUUUAGAAAUGGGAAAAGAAAGUCACAUGAAAAAGAAAAUGGAAAAAAUAAAAAAGUAUUAAACAUAUAACCAUUAAAAUAGACUAAAAAUCAGACCGAACAUUUCCAAAACCAGGCUCAAGGUUCCAAAAACCGCAUGAAACUGGCGAGUUGUCCGCUAUUGAGCAAUGACCCAUGUCGCAUCGCCAAAGGCGAGUGCUGUGUGUGCCUCACAGUUGGCGAGACAUACUAGCAUUUGCGGCAACGGGAUGCCUAGGAGAGCCUAGGAUUCGUCUUCCCUCUUUUCUGUUGCAGGUACCGUUGCUUCCGCUGCACCAGAUGUCCGAUUCUCGUGUCCAAUCUUGAAUGCUUACGAUCGGGUAGCAGCUAAGAGCAUCUCUAGACUCUAGCCGUUGGCCUUUCAGGCGGCGAUUUUACGCGCCCCCUGGGACGAGUCGGCGCUUAAAUCGGCGCGGGGCCGAGCGGAUUCCCAGCCGCUCGCCCCAGGGUCACCCCGGAUGCGUUUUUUUUAUUUUUAAAAAAGCUGAAUUCGGCGAAGUACGGCAAAGUUCAUCUAAAAUUCGGCAAACUUGAUAUUCAUAUUAAACAUGUUUGGCGUUUUACAUAAAUUAUUAAAAAAACUAAUCUAUGGGGCGAAGAACUCGAUCAGCGCGGCGAAGUCGCCGACGUCGCCGCCGUCCUCGUCGGCGGCGGCGGCCUUCUCCUACUUGGUGGCGCGGCCGCCCCUGUUGGACCCCUGCCCGACGUCUCCAUGGCGGACAGGCGGUGGCAACACGUCGCCGUCGUCGUCGUCGUCGCUGUCCUCGAGGACGACGAUGCCUCCCUUGUCCAUGCCACGGCGACGAGCUCCGAACCGCGUGAGGGCGGCGCACUGGCGCUCCUUCUGCGCCUGCAGCCAAUCGCCGCGCGCCCAUUUGAGGGCCGCCUCGUCGUCGAGCGCCUUCUCCUUGACGCCGCCGGCGAGCCCGGGCUCCGUCUUCACGACGGGAAGCCCUGGCUCUUUCUUCGGCUUGACGAGUCGGGGAGGGGCCGAGGACGAGGCGCGGCCGCCGCCUUCGUUGAUGACGAUGCCGGUCGGGCGGGUGCGCCGGCCGAGCGGGGUCUCCAUUGCGGGCUCGGCCUUGAUGCCGAACACCGCCGGAGAACCGGAGGAGUGGGAGGAGGAGUGGGAGAAGGAACGGGAUGAGGACGAUGAGCCGGAGAUGAACCUCCUUGGCAUCCAUUGCCCGGCGCCGCGGCGGGGCACCGGAGCGGUGGCCGGCCCUCGAGGGUAUGUGAGCGGUGGGUUGUUGCCGCCCUCGAGGUACGCGAGAACCUCGCGGAGUGUCCGGCCGGGGACGGACCACCACAGCCGUCGCCCCUCGCUGUUCCACCGGUCGCCCGCCACCACUGGUGCCCCGUUGAUUGAGGCGAAGCGUUGCUCUUGACGGCGCUGGAAGUACGCCGCCCACGCCUCGUGGUUGUCGGCGGCGUACUGCGGGGAGGUGCGCUGCUCCUCGGUCAGCGACGACCGAACGCGGUCGACCUCGCCGGCGAAGUGAUCGGGGCGUGCGACGACGUCCGGCAGGGGGGAUGGGGACGCCUCCGGCGCCGAGCCUCCAUCCUGUCAGCCCAGCGGGCAUGUCUGGAGGCGCCGAAAUGUUAGCCUCGAACAGUAGGUACGCCUCCCACGUCUGCAGCGAGCGGCGGCCAAAGCCGUUGGCCGCCGCUCCGUCACCGGGGAACCGCUCGCACAUUAUCGUGGAUGGGCUGGGAGAGAGGAGAGGUUCGUCGGCGGCGGAGAGAGAGAGAGAGGUUCGGCGGCGCUAGAGAGAGACAGGGAGCACAACGUCUGUGGCCAACGACGAGGGUGGGGCGACGUUUUUUAUAGCCGCCGGGGAGGCGUGUGUACGCGGGGCGGGGAGUGAGGCGGCGCCGCGCCGCCCGUGAAGAGCCGCCCCGUGAGGAAUCAAUGGAAGGCUAACCGGUGACAGCCUUGGCAUUGAUUCCCCGCGGGAAACUGAGGCGUUCGCGGAACGACGAGGCGAGUGUCGCUGACUCAGCGGGCCCGCGCCUUUUUCGCGUCAAAAACCGCGCCCCAGUGCGCCGGGUUCGGUCUGGAUCCGCCGGCGCCAAUUUCAGCCUGAGCCGGCGAAAAUUGGACUUCUGGGGACGCGACUGGGCCAAUUUUUAUGCGCCGGCGCAAAAAAGUCGUUUGGAGAAGGCGUCUUGGGGGCUCGACUGAAGAUGCUCUGAGGAUCACUUUUGGAGGGUUGGCAGCAUUGAAGCGCACGAGGGAUGGAUUUACCUGCAGCUACAGAUGGUUAGAUGGGUGAUGCGAAUCAACUUGUGGUUGAGUUGGUUAGGUGGAUAGUGGUAUCCUAACCCACCAGGGUUUAAAUCCUGGUGCUCGCAUUAUUCCUGGAUUUAUUUCAGGAUUUCCGGCGAUGCGUUUUCAGUGGAAGUAGACGUUUCCGUCGACGACGAGGCGCCUACGGUGACUUCGUAAAUCUCAAGAUGAUAUGCCGGCUCAGUCUCUCGGAGGUGCUCAUAGGGGUAGGGUGUGCGUGUGUGCGUUCAUAGGGGUGAGUGUAUGCGCGUGUAUAUGAGCGCUUGUGUCUGUACUGAUGCUAAAAAAAAGAUGGUUAGAUGGAUGAUGGUCACUGCUGUCAAAAAAAGAAAAGAUGGGUGAUGGUCGCGUACACAUCAGUACAGGCAGGGAGUAAAUUAAGUAGGUGUCAGAGACAAACAUCACGUUCCAACCGGCAACGGCCAUCCACCAAAUUAACCAAACACAACUACACUGAAGCGCAGGCAGGGAGGGCCACAUAACGAGUCGAGCAAUUCAAGCUAACUUACCUGCGCGACGUCGACUUGCAUUAACAAAACUAUAGGAAAACAAAUACCACGCCUGCUCUGAAUUACAAGAUGUUUUGGAUACUUCAGUAUGGGCUAUAUAAAAACUAAAAUGAGUAAACAAACACAUUAAAAUAAAGAGAGUUUUCUUUAUUCAUUGCUUUGAUUCAUCCUUGUUAUUUCUGUUUCAAUGGAAUUUUUGUUUAUAUGUUUCCCCCUAUGCAGAUGAGUUUUACAAUAUACUCCCUCUGUCCGAAAUUACUUGUCACAAAAAUGGUUAAAAAUGGAUGUAUCUAGAACUAAAUUAUGUCUAGAUACAUUCAUUUAUUCGACAAGUAUUUCUGAACGGAGGGAAUAACUCUAAAUCAUAUUAGAGCACCUACCUAGGAUAACUCAAUGAAUUACAAUCACGCUGAAGAGUAUCAGCAGGAAAAGGAGAAACGUAUCCUUGGCGCAGUGUCCCGUCGGUGGAGGUCCCUGUCUUGCUGAGGACAUCGCGGCCAACACCGAGGAUCAUAUGGUGUUUUAGUCCUGCGAAUUUAUGUCUUCUAAUCCAGCGGGUUGUCGUCCGGUACAAUGAAGAAGCGUCGGUACAGCAUCUUGGUUGUGUGACCUCACCACAAUGCAUCAAACGAUGUAACAUUCUUCUAUACUGAGAUGGGAGGUUCAUGGAGUGCCAAGUAAUGGUGCCCUUUAGUUUGAAAAAUGUAAAAAACAUAUUUAUAAGUUAAAAAAAUGGAGAUAAAUUCUGUGAAGACUUGUAUCUGUUCACUACGGAUCCAAGAUUUUUUUUAGAAAAAAUGUAUUUUUUAAGCUGUACAAAAAAACAAAUUCCAGCCCAAAAACAAAAAAGGGGUCAAUUUGAAAUUACACAUUUGUCUUUUCUUUGUACGCCACAUGUGAAAGUAAAAUUUAUUAAAUUUGGCACAUACAUAAUACACGUGUGUGUGU